rnacentral:lncRNA from 1 species
UCUCUCUUUUCCCAAUUUUACAGGAAUUCUUCCCACUCAACUCGGUAAUCUUUCCAACUUGCAAUCCCUUGAUCUUGGCUAUAAUUAUGGGGAUAUGACCUGUGGAAACCUUGACUGGCUUUGUCACCUUCCUUUCUUAACACACCUUGACUUGAGUUGGGUUAAUCUUAGUAAAGCAAUCCAUUGGCCCCAAGCAAUUAAUAAAAUGCCUUCCCUAACUGAGUUAUACUUGAUUGAUACUCAGCUUCCUUCGAUUAUUCCAACAAUAUCCAUUUCCCAUAUUAAUUCUUCUACUUCUCUUGCUGUGCUUCAUCUCCCCUCGAAUGGUCUCACUUCUUCAAUAUACCCAUGGUUGUUCAACUUCAGUAGCAGCCUUGUUCAUCUUGACCUCUCUUGGAAUGAUCUAAAUGGUUCAACUCCGGAUGCUUUUGGAAACAUGACUACUCUGGCAUAUCUUGAUCUCUCUUCGAACGAGCUACGUGGUUCAAUUCCGGAUGCUUUUGGAAACAUGACUACUCUGGCAUAUCUUGAUCUCUCUUGGAACAAGCUACGUGGUUCAAUUCCGGAUGCUUUUGGAAACAUGACUAGUCUGGCAUAUCUUGAUCUCUCUUUGAAUGAACUUGAAGGUGAGAUUCCAAAAUCCUUGACAGAUUUAUGUAAUUUACAGGAAUUAUGGUUGUCUCAGAACAAUCUCACUGGACUGAAGGAAAAAGAUUAUCUGGCCUGCCCUAAUAACACAUUAGAGGUUUUAGAUUUAUCUUAUAAUCAAUUGAAAGGGUCAUUUCCCAAUCUUUCUGGAUUUUCACAGUUGAGAGAAUUAUUUCUUGAUUUCAAUCAACUAAAGGGAACUUUACAUGAAAGUAUUGGACAACUAGCUCAACUUCAACUGUUGUCCAUUCCUUCAAAUUCAUUGCGAGGCACUGUCUCCGCAAACCACCUUUUUGGUCUCUCCAACCUGUCUUACUUAGACUUAUCUUUCAACUCCCUUACAUUCAACAUAAGCCUUGAGCAAGUUCCCCAGUUUCGAGCCUCAAGUAUACUAUUGGCCUCUUGCAAAUUAGGCCCACGUUUUCCUAAUUGGCUUCAAACUCAAGAAGUUUUGAGCGAACUUGAUAUCUCUGCUUCUGGAAUUUCAGAUGUCAUUCCCAAUUGGUUUUGGAAUUUAACUUCAGAUUUAAAUUGGUUAAACAUUUCCAACAAUCACAUCUCGGGCACUUUGCCCAAUUUACAAGCAAGGUCUUAUUUGGGAAUGGAUAUGAGUUCAAAUUGCUUGGAAGGUUCAAUACCACAAUCUGUUUUCAAUGCUAGAUGGUUGGAUCUCUCCAAGAACUUGUUUUCAGGCUCAAUUUCUUUAUCGUGUGGGACUCCUAAUCAGCCUAGUUGGGGUUUGUCUCAUCUUGACCUCUCAAAUAAUCGACUAUCAGGAGAACUACCCAAUUGUUGGGAGCAGUGGAAAGAUUUAAUUGUUCUUGAUUUGGCAAAUAAUAAUUUUUCUGGGAAAAUUAAAAAUUCGAUUGGCUUGUUACAUCAGAUGCAAACAUUGCAUUUAUGUAACAAUAGUUUUACUGGAGCACUGCCUUCGUCCUUAAAGAACUGCAGAGCUUUGCGUCUUAUAGAUUUGGGAAAAAAUAAAUUGUCAGGAAAAAUAACCGCAUGGAUGGGAGGAAGCCUGUCAGAUUUGAUCGUUCUCAACCUAAGAUCUAAUGAAUUUAAUGGAAGCAUACCUUCAAGUCUUUGUCAACUGAAACAGAUUCAAAUGUUGGACCUCUCUAGCAACAAUCUAUCAGGAAAGAUACCAAAAUGUCUCAAAAAUUUAACUGCCAUGGCUCAAAAAGGAAGUCCGGUCCUUUCUUACGAAACAAUUUACAAUUUGAGUAUCCCAUAUCACUAUGUUGAUAGUACAUUGGUUCAAUGGAAAGGAAAAGAACAAGAGUACAAGAAAACUCUUAGAUUCAUUAAGAGCAUUGAUUUUUCAAGAAACCAAUUAAUUGGUGAAAUUCCAAUAGAAGUAACUGAUUUGGUAGAAUUGGUGUCUUUGAAUUUAUCAAGAAACAAUUUGAUUGGAUCAAUCCCUACAACAAUUGGUCAAUUGAAAUUAUUGGAUGUUCUUGAUCUAUCUCAAAACCAACUUAAUGGUAGAAUUCCGGAUACUCUUUCUCAAAUAGCCGAUCUAAGUGUUUUAGACCUAUCAAAUAACACCUUGUCAGGUAAAAUUCCAUUAGGCACUCAAUUACAAAGCUUUGAUGCCUCCACAUAUGAGGGAAAUCCUGGACUUUGUGGACCACCUCUUUUGAUAAGGUGUCCUGAAGAUGAACUUGGGGGAGUCUCCUUCACUAGUGGUCUUAGUAGUAAAAAAGAGGACAUUCAAGAUGAUGCAAAUAAUAUAUGGUUUUAUGGAAAUAUUGUUCUUGGAUUCAUCAUCGGAUUUUGGGGAGUUUGCGGCACUUUACUAUUCAAUAGUUCAUGGAGAUAUGCCUAUUUCCAAUUGUUGAGCAAGAUAAAGGAUUGGUUGUACAUGACAACAAUAGUAAAUAUGAAUAGAAUACGAAGGAGCCUGCAAGGUUAAAUGGUAAGACUUCUCAAAUUCUCUUUUUAGUUUUUCUGGUAAAAUGUGUUAACUUCUAUUUAUUAUCCAACAGUUAAGAAUAAAAAGUACACUUUAUGCUACUACUCAAAUCCCUCUUCUAUUAUUUGAUUGACCUUCCACAAUAUAUUGAUGAAAGCUUAGAUUUUGCAAAUAGAAGCAUCGAUAAAAUAAGCAAGCGUAGAAGAUUUUAAUAUACUUUUUUGUAAUAGUUGUGCAUAUUUAGCUUUCAUCAUGUAAAGAUUAAUCUUAUAGGCCGAGGAUCAUAGUUGAAGAAUGAUUAUUUGUAUUUUUAUUUCUAUCUUACUUCAAGUUACAAUUUUUUCUUUUAAAUGUUAAGUUAAUUUGUUGUCUUCAAAUAUUAUAAGUACAUUAAAAGUUCAAUUGUAAGUAACAUACUAAAACCUUCAUUUCUACUAAUCAAGAAGAGUCGCAACUAAGAAAUUAUUCCAAAUUGAUGAGCGUUGUUGCAUUUCAUCUUUGUAUUACAGGACUUCAGCUGGGUUGCAUCUCAAGGAUUAGUAGGUGAUAUAUGCUUUUGAGUAACGGGAGUAUUUAUGAUGGGAUAGUUACAUGCCUUAAUGCAAAAGCUUGUCAUCGGAUAAAUGACAUCAACAUGUAUUAAGUUUGCUUAUUUGGUAGUUAGCUUGGCUUUAAGUUUCUCGUGUUAUAUUCUAUUUAGAACUUUUUAAACAUUAAUUUUUGCUAUUAUAUGUACGACUUUGUAUUUUGUUGCUCUAAAAUUUAUUUGUUAUUUUUGUAGAAUCAAAUAUUAGAGGCCUUUGUAGGGGGUGCUAAAAAAAUACUUCAUCUUAGAAAAAUAUUUUUUUUUUUGCUCAAAAACAAAGUUUAUUUUUUGGGAAAUGCAAUGUGAUAAUACCCAUUAGUAUGAAAUGUGGGAUAUGCUACUACUGAAAACAGAGCACUCUGUUUUUUUGGUGCUCAAGCAUGAAAGCUCCUGUAACACAGAGAGGUCUGAUUUCCAACCGUGAAUCAAAUUGCUUAAGGUACUCCAUAUGCAGAUUGCUGGAAGUCACUUUGGGCAUCAAUCAUCUUCAAGGGACGAUGAUGAUGGGAAUUGGAUCAACGGCGGUAAAGACCAACUAUGGAAAGUUUGCUAAAAAGCUCCCAUUUCUUUAUUUUGGUUUCUGCUUUUGUAAAUAACAAUGUUAUCCAAAAUUUGUGUUGGUUGCUCAAGUUUUGUAAAAGCUAUUCAACCAAUACAAAUCGCUACAUAAUAUGCAUUUUGCCGAAGAUCUGUGAUGAUUUGGAGCUCUCUCCAAUGCCAUACCAGGUUACAACUGAAACAAGCAUCUUAUUUAGGAAUAGUUAACAACAACGAAGAACUGCAAUUUAUAUUUGUGUUUUUUGUUCCACUGAAUAUUGCAGUAAUCAACUUAUGGAAGAAGUUGGAGCUGUUGGAGAAGAAAGUGCUCUUCAUGUUUGCUCAAACAAUUCAGAGGGAAGUUUAGCUUUUGCUUUGGUAGUUGUGAAGUUGCAAACUGUUAUUAGAAUAAGAAGCCUCUACUUUUGCUUGUUACUGAAUAUGAAUUUUUUUUUUAAGAAGUAAAUUUGCUAAUUAUUGUUCUUUUUCUUAGGCACCCAAGAAAAGAGUAUGUACUUUUAGCAAAGACCAAGAGGAAACUAUUAGAGCUUCAUUUGAGCAGUGAGUGCUUAAUUUGUUCUUUUUUGUGGCAUAUGCAUGUAGUCUUAAAUUUGAUUUCCCUCUGCAUAAUUGAUGCUGAAUAUUGUGAUUUUGGAAAGAUUAAUGCUAGUCUCCUUUUCGUCUUUUAAAUUAAAUUAGAUUUGUUUACGUAUAGGUUUAAAGACCAUAAAAGGUGCACCUACAUGAUUGUAAGUGCUCUAGAUGGUGAUGGUACGUUCACAGCUGCCCAAGUUUCCCAUAAGCUCAAGCAACAAUUUGCUUGUGUUCCUCAUCAAAAAAAGAGUUGAAGACAACUUGCAUUUGAGAGAUGAAGAUCUUAAUGGUUGUGAUAUAGCCAAAGCACAGGAUUCCAAUGAUGAAACAUUGUUUUCACUAAGAAAAAGGUAACUAUAUCUUUAUGAAUUUCAUGCAAUUUUGUGAAUUAAUCUUAUUUGUGUGAUAUCCCACAUCGAAUGAGGGGAAAACUAUUAUAUAUACAUAUAUAGGUUCUCUUAGACACGUUUUAAAACUCAUGAGGGCCCCUUAAGCCCAUAAUAGAUAAUAACUACAUAGUUAGCAGUGGAUCGUUAUAGCUUGUAUGCAAACUUUAUCACAUACUUGCAUCUUUGUGGUUGCAGACUUGUAGUGUAUUUGCAUUUGCUUGCAUUUGUCAAGUACUAUACUUUGGUGAUGAAAUCAUAAAUUCAUGACACUCAAGACUUAAUCCAAUUGACAUGUUUUUUUUUUUACUAAAUACAAUAACUAAUUCUUAAGUUAUAAAUUAUAUCACCAAAUUAUUUUUUUACAAUAUAUAGUUUAUUUCAAAUUUUAUUUUAUUUUUCUUCACCUCUUAGGUUUAUCACUUUACAUUACAAAAUAAAAUAAAUUGCAAUUUCCCUUUUCACAAGAUUUUUAUUUUUACAAAAUAUUCAAUAUUUUCCAACUUUUAUAAAAUAAUUUCCGAAAUUAUAUAAUCGGCUGUUAUAAAGAUUUUAAAUUUUUGUGUUGUCAUGGGAUUAUUUUGUUGGCAUGCUUGACCCAGUUGGUAACUUAGGUUUUUUUUUUUUUUUUAAUUCGCCUGACCUUCACAUGUGGCCUAUUACCAUUGGUGGAAAAUUGUGGGUAAGGUGAGAUUUCGGUACCCAAGCUUGACCAUAUAUAUCUGUGAAUUACGCAGAAGACUCGAAAAGUCAAAGGAAAAAUCCUGGGAACCAAGCUGGAAAACACAGGACUGUUAUUUCAGGGAAGGUGUACGUUUGGGGGCAUAUUACAGCUUGGGUACUGAACAAGAGGCAUGUAAGAAGUCUGGCCAUGGAUGCAGAAGAAGAAAAGCAAAGUAAAACCCACAUCCAUGGACAGUUGGUAGAGAUAAACCACAAUCAGGAGAAACGAAUACGCCACGAAGAAACAAAGGCACAGAAUCUGACAACUGGGUUUGCGGUCGUCCAAGUUUUAAUUCUCAACACACUGGUGAUCAACAAGCCAUCCGGCAGAUGCGAACACUGGUGGGUGCCAUUCUCUCUCUCCUUAUCAGUCGGUGUGAUUUAUUUCGUCACCAUUUUUGAGGUAGUGAAGAAAUGCUACCUUCUGCUCUACCAUUUGGACGUCAACUACAUGGAGCAAGAAGCCAUUCUUCUGGAAAUGCAUGGGGGUGCUUCGUCCCGGCGACAUGAUCAGCCAUUGAAGCCAGAUGUGGUGAAGCUCCUGAGGCGUAAAGCUUAUAUCACGAUACUGAUUUCUGCCAUGCUCGCCUUUCAAGCUCUGAUGCUCCACGCCUGCAGCUCCUUUCUUUGCAACUGAGAUUAACCAUUAGCUAUGUUCACAUGUGAUUAAUGCUCUUGCCGUUUUAAAUACAUAAGAAUAAUGUUGUUUCAAAAAUCGUUUGCUUAUAUUUAAAUACUAUUUUCUCUUUUCCAACUGUCCUUACAAAUAGUCUUAUGCUUAGUAGUAGAAAAAAAAAAAAUAUUAAGAUGAAAAUUAUGUAAUUCAAAUUGAAUGCAUCAAUGGAACCGAAAUUAUUCAUCGUGAAAUUUAUUUACAUCGUUUUUCUUUCCAAAGUAUUUUCUAGUUGGAAAGAAAAUUCCAACAUUGCAAUUUUCGUUAGAAAAACGGGACAAAUUAUAAAAGAAAAGAAAAAUCAAUCUCAAAUACCAAUAUUAAAAUGAUUUAUCUAUUUAUCAACACAAUUUGAGUGGAAGAAAUAAAGACACGUGGAAAUCUAUAUAUCAGGAAUCAAAUAGGGUCAAGAAUGGGUUCCAACAAGAACCAUCAAUGGGCUGCCCAAUCAAUAACAAAAGGCCCUCGAUGGGUCUCAUGGGCCAAACAAAAUGGAGCCAGCACACAAUAAGUUUAAACCCAAAUAAAAAUUUCAAGUACAUAUUUUCAAUCCCAUUUAUAAUUUAUUCAUUUAAAUUAGAAAUCUAUAUAUCAAGAAUCAAAUUAGAGAGACCAAAAUUAACAUAUCAGAGUAGAAAUCUUUACAAUCAAAUUUCUUUUUUAUAAAUUUAAAAAUAUUUUCUAUAACUAAUUUAGAUUAGCAAAAAAGAAAAAAAAAAUCUUCAUCGGACCACACAUGUGAUACACUUUGGUAGUUGUUUUUAAAUUUCAAUAAACAUUCUUACAUCAAAAGUAUAAAAAAAACUAAAAAAAAAAAGGAAAUGUUUAGGAAAGUUUGAUUUUAUUGUAGAAAUUAAACAAAAAAAAGUUAAAUAUAAUUAAAAUUAGUAAAAAAAACUUAAAUAUUUUUAGAUUAUUUUAAGUUUGAUGUAAAGUAUAAAAAUAAUUUUUUAAUUUUAAAUCAAUUUUUUUUCUUUGCUUCUAUUUUUUUCUUUAUUUUUUUUUCUUUUCCUCACAUUUUUUCUUUCACUCCUGAGGAACCAAACAUAACCUAAAAGUUUUAAAUAUAUAAAAAAAAACUUCAUAUUAUAUAUAUAAGGGUUGUUAUUAUAUUGAUUUAUAUAAGUACAAUAUGAUUUUUUUUUUUUUUAUAACCGUGGAUGUUCGGGCCAGCUUACGCGCACCUCGACUAAUCCCACGGGGCCCUGAAGUUAACGACCGGGUAAACCUCCAGUGGCCCUGAGGGGACUCGAACUGGUGACCAUAAGGGAGCAAACCCAAGGCCGGACCAACUGAGUUACCCCUCAGGGUUAUAAGUACAAUAUGAUUAUUCAAAUCAUAUUACAUGUAUAGAAUACGAGAAAUCAAGUUGUGUCAUACUCAAAAUUUCAACAUGAUAGAUAUAGCUUUUGAAGACUUUUCCUUUGCGAUUAAUUCUUAUACUUGGAAUUUGUUUAGGUAGGGUAGGGUUUUUGGAAGUUUGUUCGCAAUUUUCUCAUACUUGGAAACAAUUUCCAAAGGAAUGGUCAGAGAAAGGAACUAAACAAAUAGAAGAUUGAAACGGACUAGAUAGACCCUCACCUGCACCGAAGGUUUGUAUGAUCUUCGUGGACCGCAGGCCGCAUGGCCUUCUCAAGCCUCCAUGCCUUGCUUUUCCGCUUAUAAAGAACAGCCAAAAAGGACUUGACUGAUCUGAAAAAUCAGUGGCCGGAAAAGCGAGCUCGACACGGAGAAACAAUUGCCCAUGCAGUUUGGGAGAUCACAGAGCGAACUGUUGGAGUCUGGGCUUUUGUUUCUUCGUGUCGAUCUCGCUUCCCUUUAUGGCAGAGCUUUUCUCACCCUUCAGACACUCUCCUCCCAAACCAACCUCUCACAGCUUCAAUGCAGCUCACAUCCUCCUCACCGGCGCAUGGUGGUUACUACACUAUCCAGAUGCUGCAGCAGCCCACUUCCCUCAGCCUUGGACUCAUCUACAACUUGCCCGACUCUUACAUCACCUCGUUGCAGUCUUACACCAACUACUCCUACUGGUCUGGACCCGAUAUAUCAAACGUAACAGGCGAUGUAGUCGCGGUUUUAGACAGGGCGGGGAGCUUUGGGAUCAUGUAUGGGUCAUCAUCUGAUGGGGCGGUUUAUGUUUACAAAAGUGAUACUGAUGAGAAAGGGCUGUCUUCGUCGUGUGAAUCAGAUAGUUAGGCCAUUAGUUCUUCGAAGACUGAUACUCGAGAUGAAUGGGAAUUUGAGGCUGUAUCGUUGGGACGAUGAUGUGAACUGCACUCGCCAAUGGGUGCCUGAAUGGGCUGCAGUUUCUAACCCAUGUGAUAUUGCUGGGGUUUGCGGAAAUGGGGUGUGUAGCUUGGACAGAAGCAAGACUAAUGCCUCCUGUACAUGCCUGCCGGGGGCUUCUAAGGUGGGAGACAGCGGCCAGUGCUCAGAGAAUUCGUCGGUGUCAGCUGGGAAAUGUGAUAAUAAUCAUCGGAAUUCAACUGCUUCCAAGCUGAAGAUGUCUAUAGUACAGCAAACUAACUACUAUUACCCUGAAUCUUCGAUUAUAGCAAAUUAUAGUAACAUGUCCCAAUUGUCAAAGUGUGGGGAUGCUUGUUUAUCAGACUGUGAUUGUGUUGCUUCCGUGUAUGGGCCGAGUGAGGAAAAGCCUUACUGUUGGCUGCUGAACAGCUUGGAGUUCGGUGGAUUCGAGGACACGAGUUCGACGUUGUUUGUGAAGGUUGGGCCUAAUGGGUCACCUGAAGACAAAGCAACAGGAUCUGGGGAUUCAUCUGAUGGCCUCCGGGACAAGGUCUUGGUUCUUCCAAUUGUUCUCAGCAUGACUGUCCUUGUAGCACUCCUCUGCCUGUUGUUAUAUCACACUCUGUACAGAAGGAGGGCCUUGAAGAGAUCCCUGGAAAGCUCCUUGAGUGUGUCCGGUGCGCCAAUGAAUUUCAGUUACCGCAAUUUGCAGUCCAGAACCGGCAAUUUUUCGCAGUUGCUCGGCACAGGUCAGCAUGUACAUAUACAUAUACUUUGAAAGGGAUGAAAUUGUUUGAACAAAGCCAGUUGGACUUGAUCAAUUUGGAUUAAUGUUGUCUUCUCUUUUUUUCAGGAGGGUUUGGGAGUGUAUACAAGGGAAGCCUUUCAGAUGAGGCAUUGGUUGCAGUGAAGAAGCUUGACAAGGUUUUGUCUCAUGGGGAGAAGGAAUUCAUAACUGAAGUGAACACCAUUGGCUCUAUGCAUCACAUGAACCUGGUUCGCCUAUGUGGCUACUGCUCGGAAGGCUCUCACCGGUAUGCAUUUCAUUUCAUCGCCUAAAACCAAUUACCACUAACCAUAAUUAAAUUCUUGUCAUCCUCUUUUGUGGUCAAGCAUACUAUAUUUUCGAGCUUAUAAUGGGGUUGGAAUUUGAUGAUUCUUCACAGGCUUCUGGUUUAUGAGUUCAUGAAAAAUGGUUCCUUGGACAAGUGGAUAUUCCCCUCAAAGCAUUGCCGGGACAGACUGCUAGAUUGGGGAACUCGUUUCCAUAUAGCCAUUGCUACUGCACAAGGGAUUGCUUAUUUUCAUGAGCAGUGCAGGAAUCGGAUAAUCCACUGCGAUAUCAAGCCUGAAAACAUACUUCUAGAUGAGAAUUUCUGUCCAAAAGUUUCAGACUUUGGACUAGCAAAGCUGAUGGGCAGAGAGCAUUCACAUGUUGUCACUAUGGUGAGAGGAACUAGGGGCUAUCUGGCUCCAGAAUGGGUUAGCAACCGGCCUAUUACUGUAAAAGCCGAUGUCUACAGUUACGGAAUGCUUCUCCUGGAGAUUGUUGGUGGCCGGAGAAACCUUGACAUGACCUUUGAUGCAGAAGACUUCUUCUAUCCUGGGUGGGCUUUUAAGGUAUAGAUCAAUCAAGUUCUUGCUUCUGUAAAUCACAAAUUGUUAAGUGUUUGAUAUUUUAUUAACGAAAAUGCCAAUUCCUCUAGGAAAUGAGUAAUGGGACGACAAGAAAAGUUGCAGACAGGCGACUGGAAGGGGCAGUGGAGGAAGAGGAGCUAGAAAGAGCAUUGAAAACUGGCUUUUGGUGCAUUCAAGAUGAGGUUUUCAUGAGGCCUUCAAUGGGGGAAGUGGUGAAGAUGUUGGAAGGAUCACUUGAAAUCAACACACCGCCAAUGCCACAGACAGUUCUGGAGCUCAUGGAGGAGGGCUUAGACAAUGUAUACAGAGCCAUGAAGAGAGAGUUCAACCAGUCCAGCUUCUUCACCAUCAAUAAUAGUACCCAUCCUUCAUCAAGGGCUACAUGUAGUUAUUCCACAAUGUCACCUAGAUAGCAAAGGAGAAAUGGAACAAAUUUUGUUGUUGUCCCGGAAUUUUAUCACCUUGAUAGAUACUGUCCAGAAACAUAAUUCUUAUUGAUCAAUUGUUACCAUACAUACUAAUGGGCAAUGAAAUUAGUAGAGAACUUUGCAUAGGUUGAGGUACGAAAAUCUCGGUCUUUUAAAGGAGAUUUAAGCCAUUUCUGGUUUGACAAUUUGAGAAAUUGGUGUAUUUGACUUCUCUUUGAUUUGUCCCCACAAGGAUACGAUAGUCGGCCAAGUGAUUUGUUGCAUAGCUCACAUCAAUAUGCAUAAAGCAUAGAACUUAAGGCUUCACAAAGAAAAAAAAAAAAAAGAAGAAGAAAGGAAGAAGAUAACUAAAAAAAGUCUAAAAAACAUGACAUUAGGAGGAUGAGUCAAAAGACUCAUCAUAAAGUUUAAAAUCUUCAACAAUUUUGAAAGAAUUCAAUCUAGCUCUUUAAUUUUUAUAAGCUAAAUCCCAUUGACAUAAAUGAUAUUUAAUACUUCUCAAUUCCCAUAAUUGUAACUACAAAUUCAAUAAUCCAUUAUGCCAACUUUAAUCCCCUUAACUUUCAUAUAUAACCAUAAUGUUGGUAGCUAGUUUACAUUGAUAACUUUGUUCCAAACUUGUUGGAUCUAACUCUAAUAUUUAAUUACUUCAUGUGACUUACAUUGGACUUGAAAACUUGAAAUUUUUAUCAAUUCCUCCUUAAGGUCAUUCUGGUAACUAUGAUUAAGUUUGUUCGGGUGAAUAAUGACAUCAAAAGGUAUAUGCUGGUUUUUAUUAGAUGAUGUGAAAAUAAUAGGGAAAAAAAGAAAAAAAGAAUCGGAUUUUGAUGAGCAAUCAAGUGAUCCUUAUGAGUGCUUAAGUGCCCAUAACGACUUUACAUAAUUUUUUACUAAUUUUCUUAUUCCAUUUUUUCAUGAUAUUUUUCCGCUACGAUUUUUAAGAUUAUGAUUACACCUUAUGUUAUUGAUUUGAUAUAUGUUUUUUAGAGCUAUAUGCUAUUAUUCUCUAAGAGCCCCAUCGUGGAUUAAGUUUAGUUUGUGGUGAUUUCUUUCAUUAAGGAAUACUCUCUCUCUCUCUCUAAUUGGGAAAUAUCAUCGAUAUGUUGGUGGACAUUGAAGUGAAAUAUAGGAUAGUUUGUGGUGAUUUCUUUCAUUAAGGAAUACUCUCUCUCUCUCUAAUUGGGAAACAUCAUUGAUAUGUUGGUGGACAUUGAAGUGACAUAAGGGGAGAUGGAUAGAUAUUGAAGUGACAUAUAGGGGAGAUAUAUCCAUCUACUGAAGUUUCGGUUAUUUUUUAAAAAUUUGAUAUUUUUGCCAUUCACAUAUUUAAGAGAAUAAAAUAUAAAAGAGUUAAAUAUCUUAUUCCUCGUAAAAUUGAAAUUUCAACUUUUGAAAUGUCAAAUUACAAAAUUAUAAAACACAUUAAAUUUUGAUAUGCCUUAGAAAAAAAACAUAUUUAAUUCAUUUUUUUUUAAUUUUCUUUGUUAUCUUAUUAAUUAAGUUAGCAAAUUACAUUAAAAAUCAAAUAACAAUGGAUCAAUUAAAAGAUAUAACACUAUGUUCGGUUGUCUAAGAUUUGAAAGUAAUGACAACAAAAAGAAAACAAAGAAAAAAAUAAAAAUAAAAAUAAAAAAAAUAAAAAAAUAUUUAAAAUUAAUAAAUUAUUUUUACAUCUUAAUAAAUUAUUUUUACAUAAUUCUUUAUUCAUUCCACUUAUUUAUACUCUUUUAUAUAAAAAUUAAAUAAUUUUAAAAAUAUAUAAAAUUUUAAUUAAUUUUAAUUAUAUUUGAUUUUUCUUUACACUUUUUUAGAGUUAAUUUUGUUCACCUUCUAGAGCUUUGGGUUAAAUAUAUUUAGUCACCUUGAGUUUAAAAUUUUAUCAAAUAUCUUUCUUCCUUUUUUUUUGAGUUAGAGGUAGGGGCAUAACUUGAGCGGAUAGGCCCUACUCAACCUGAUGUUUGAAUAGCUUGAACAAUUAUUUUCAAUACUUGAGUUGUGAUAGAUUAAAUAUUUUCAAUUCGAGCUCAAUUUGGACGACUAAAGAUUCAAACAACUCAAACCUAAUCCAAAUUGGAUUUAAUAUUUUUAUAAUAUUUAUAAUAUAAAAUAUCAAAUAUUAUUAUUACAUAUCAUAUCUUGAAAUUUUGUUCUAUUAAUUAUUUAAAUUUUGACAUAAAUAUAUGAGUUUAUUAUACUUUACCCCUAUAACCUAUAACUUGUUUUACACAUUGUUCCAUCAAGUUCAAAAUUGAGUAAUGUACCUUCCAUAUUUAAUAACUGUACGUAAUGUGCAUUUUUUUUAAAGACAACUUUAUUUUUUGGACGGAAAGGUACGUGCUCUCCGCGUGAUUGAGGGUAAAAGUGUCUUUUUUCCUUUGCAACUCCCUCUCUCGAUCAUUACUCCCCUUUGGAACCCCAAAUUGUAGCCCGCUUCUUCCUGACCCGUUCUUCUUUCCUUCCUUCAAAGCCUUAGAAUGUGAAUCCCAAAAAGUUGCUACUGAAGCCCUAGAAAAUUUCUCAUGUUUGUAGGGUGGAAAUGUUUCUCCAAAUUUCCCUAAAAAAUUGCCCAAAAAUUUCCCCAGUUUUUUGAAACACAAAAACAAAACCCCAACCCUAAACUAGAAGCAUAACAAAAAAAAUUUAAACCCUAACAUAAAAACCCUAGCCCUCAAUUGGCCCUAGUUUUAUUCAACCAUAAAUCCCCCAAAUUUCCCCUGAAAAUUGCCUUUAAAUUUCUACAAAAUUUCCCCCAAAAUUCUCCUAGUUUUCUUAAACAUGAAAAUGAAACCCUAACCUUGAACUAAAAUCAUAACAUAAAAAUUUAAACCCUAACAUGAAAACCCUAACCCUCAAUUUGCCUGAGUUUUAUUCUUCCAUAAUUUCCACAAAAUUUCCCCAAAUUUUCUGAAAGAUCCAAACGAAACCCUAACCCUAAAGAAAUUGGAAGACAAAAAAUACCUUUGAACUUUCAUGUCUCUCUUCAAUGUCAGCCCUGCAUUAGCUUCUUUGGGAUUCUAGGGCUUCAGCUUUGAGUUUCACUAAUAGCUACAGAGGAGGAACAGUACAUGCUGGAGAAGAUGAGGGUUUUAAAAUAACAAUGACCCUUUUGCCCUUGCUUUAUGGGAACGAAGACAAUUUUGCCCUCAGUCACGUGGAGAGUACAUGUCUUUCUGUCCAAAAAAAAUAAUGUCGUAUUUAAAAAAAUACACAUUUUAUGCAAUUAUAAAGAAUUAAGGGUACAUUAUUCGAUUUUGUACUUAAGGGGGCAAUGUGUAAAAUAUGCUUUAAAUUGAGGGGUAAAGUGUAAUUAACUUUAAAUAUAUAGAAAAAAUAUUUUUUUGAAAAACAUUAUUUGGGUAAAUUUUGAAUUAUGCAAUCGAUUAUUUUCUCUUGAAUAACCUCAUGAAUCCGAACUCAAUCUAAUUUUUUUUUAUCCUACUUUAGAUAUAUAUAACUCAUUUGUCUUGUCUCGGUCACUUCGUCCCAAUCACAUUCAUAAAUUUUCUCGGGAAACUUGUGUUUGAGGCUGGUAAUAUUAAAAUAGUAUGAGAUUGGAAACCCAACUUUUGAUUUUUUAAUAUAAUUAUUCUAAUCCUAAAAAUAAUAUAGGGUUCAUGCACUUUUAGCUGAACUAUUUUUUAAUAUCCAAUAUGCCCUCUUCUUUCUGCCAGGUCAACCUCCACAUGUGAAAAAAAAAAGAGGUCUUCUUCCAUCUCCAGCAUCACCUGUGAAAAAAAAAGGGUCUUAUUCCAUCUCCAGUAUCACCUCCACUAGAUGACCAUAACUCCUCCCAAACUUCUUCACCUCCAUUUGCAGACUGUCCACUAUCGGGUCAACUUGUUUCAUCUCAAUCAUCGCCGCGGCUCAUCACCAGCGACGACCGAGGGAACCUCGACUCUAUGUACCGCAUCAACAUCUCCCCCGAUCCCGAAACUGUGUCAGAGCCACACUGCAGAACCAACAUAUCGGGUUUGAGAAUCGGCGUCUCGGCCGACACCAUACAGAUGGAUACGCAUUUGUGGUGUAGGGCGAACCGGAUGUAGGAGGUGAGAGGAACCGCUGGAGAUAAACGACACCAAAAUUCCUUUCCCAUCUUCCACUCCCUGGUUGUAGGUCUCAUCAUAGGAAACAAACGGCUGAGACUUAGUAAAUUGGGAGAGGAAGCAUGCUAGUUGUAGGUGUGAGAAGUUGCGGGAGAGUCAUGGACGAAGGUGGGGGGAGAGAGAGAGAGAGAGACUUGAAGAGGUUAGGUUUUCUUUUUGGGAUUUGGGUUUCAAAAGGGAGCAGAGCAGAUGGAAAAUUUUAGGCAAAACGUUUUAUGUUUUCUCGGUUUUUUGAUUUUUUGGUUUUUUUUUUAAAAAAAAAAUAAGUGGAGGUUGACGUGGUAGAGAAGAGAGGCAUAUUAGGUAUUAAAAAUCAGCUCAGCCCAAAGGGCAUGGAACCCAAAAUAUUUUGGGUUCAAUAUUGAAAAAUUAAAAAUGGUAAAAAUGAGUUUUGGUUUUCAUAAUAUUUAGAUAUCACCAUCCCAAAACCUAACUUUUCCAAUUUUCUCUUUCGUGCUUGCCGUGAAAGUCACUUGCUCCGCAAUUUACGCAAAGACUCUAUUACCAUUGACUUUAUUACAAUUUCUACAAGAAAAAUCGAACUUCAAGACUAAGCAAAUAUCCUAGGAAUCAAGCUGGAAGCUACAAUGCUGUUUCAGGGAAGCAUAUGAUAUACAAAUACAACCCUUAUAUGUUACAGCUUCGGUACUGACCAGGAGACUGUAAGUACUGGCCAUGGAUGCAGAAGAAGAAAGGCUAAGUAAAACCCAUAUCCAUGGCCAAUUGGUAGAGAUAAACCACAAUCAGGAGAAACGAAUACGCCACGAAGAAACAAAGGCGCAGAAUCUGACAACUGGGUUUGCGGUCGUCCAAGCUUUAAUUCUCAACACAGGGGUGAUCAAUAAGCCAUCUAACAGAUGCGAACACUGGUGGGUGCCAUUCUCUCUCUCCUUAUCAGUCGGUGUGAUUUAUUUCAUCACCAUUUUUGAGGUGUUGAGGAAAUGGUACCUUCUGCUCUACCAUUUGGACGUCAACUACCUGGAGCAAGAACUUAUUCUACUGGAAAUGCAUGGGGGUGCUCCGUCCUGGCGAAAUGAUCAGCCAUUGAAGCCAGAUGUGGUGAAGCUCCUGAGGCGUAAAGCUUAUAUCACGAUACUGAUUUCUGCUAUGCUCGCCUUUCAAGCUCUGAUGCUCCACGCCUGCAGAUCCUUUCUUUGCAGCUGAAAGUAACCAUCUUCCCCUUUAAAUAAAUACUAGAAUAAAAAAAAAUUGUUGUUUAUUAUGCCAAAUUUCUCGAUGCCUUUGAAGAGUGUCAUGGGAAAUGCUAUUAAGAUGCAAACUACAUAAUUCAAAAUGCAUUAUAUGGAACGAAAUUAUUUACCAUGAAAUUUAUUUAUAUUGUUUUUCUUUCUAAAGUAUUCAAAAUGCAUGAUAUGCAAUAGAAAAUUUUGAGGGAAAAUAUCACAGAAAGAAAAUAGAGAGAAAAAAUAGAAUAAAAAAAUAUGAAAAAAAAAUAAAAAAAUAUAUUUAAAGUCAAUAAAUUAUUUUUAUAUCUUAUUUUAAACUUAUUUUACUUAUUUUAACUCAUCAAUAUAAAGGUUAAAUAAUUUUAAAAUAUAUAAAAUUUUAAUUAAUUUAAAUUAUAUUUGAUUUUAUUUGACAUUUUUCAUGAUACAAUCAUGAGAAACUCGUUUUCUUAAACAUUUUUCUUUUCUUUUUUCAGUAGUUUUUGGCAACCAAACAUUACCUAAAAUUUUGUUAGUGCAUCUCCUUAGGUGUUUGUGCUCACAUAUUGGGCCCAAGAAUGGGUUCCUGCAACUACCAUCAAUGGGCCGGGCUGCCCAAUCAAUAACAAAAGGGCACUCACCUGGGUCUCAUGGGCCGAGAAAAAUGGAGCCCAUACACAACAGUUUUGAACCCAAACAUAAAUUUCAAGUUCAUAUAUACUUUUAAUCUCGUUUAUUCAUUCAUAUUAGAAAUCUAGAUUUAUAUUAAUUCAUUCAUGUAGAUCUAUAUAUUAGGAAUCAAAUUAGAGUGCAUAGAAACCAAAAUUAAGAGAGAGGAUUAUACCCAGGGAAGUUUUGUGUGAUACGUUGAACUGAAAGUGAUAAAAACUAAGACUAUGUUUAAUUCCCAAAAAGCAAUAAGGAAAGAAAAAAAAAUAUGAAGGAAAAUUAUUUUCUUGUAUUUUAUUUUUUUAUGAAAAACUUGAAAGGAAAUAAAAUAUAAUUAAAAAUUUAUUAUAUAUUUUUAAAUUAUUAAUUUCCAUAUAAAAGGGGAACAAAAUGUCAAUGAAUUUGAAAUAACAAAUAAAAAUGAUUUAUAAGUUUUAAAUCCAUUUUUUUUAUUUUCCUUAAUAUUUUCCUUCUUCUACUUUUUCUUUCUAUUUUCUUUUUCUCACAUUUUCUCUUAGAUUUUCUAAGAACCAAACAUAAUAUAAAAAAACAAAUAAUAUAUAAAAAAACCCAAAUAAUUUGACAUGUGGUAUAUUGUUGCUAGUCAAAGUAAUGGUUGUGGGUGACUUUUAGAAGCCUCCAAUAAGAAAUGGCCAAAAAACCUAUGAGCUUGGCAUUUAUUUGAGUAUCUCGGGGACAAUAUUUUAUUUUUAAUUAUGUGUUUUAAUUCAUUGUUUUUUUUUCUUUAAUAUUAUUUUAGAAAUAUGUUUAGAGAUAUGUUAAUUUUAGUGCUUAUAGUAAUAUAAAGAUUUUGAUAAUUAAAAAUUUGUUUAAAAAUGAUUUUAGGAAGCAUUUAACCUAUUUAAUCUUUAAAUUUUUUAUAAAAGAAUUGUUUUCAAGUGCUAAAAAGAUUAGAGACAUUUUAUAAAAUUACUAUUAAAUAAAUUCUAAAUAUAAUCGAGUCGUGUGACUAUAAAUUGCUAGACUUUUCCAUGUGAUUAAUCCUUGGAUACUUGGAAUUUGUUUAUGUGGGGUAGAGCUUUUGUGAGUUUGUUUGCAAUUUUCUCAUACUAGAAACAAAUGAAUGGUCAGAGAAAGGAACAUAGAAAAGAGAAGAUUGAAACACCUUCACCUGCUCCGAAGGUUCGUAUGAUCUUCAUGCCAGCCUCCAUGCCUCAUUUUCCCGCUUAUAAAAAAAAGGCCACAAAAGACUAGACUGAUCUGAUAAAGCAGGGCCGGAAAAGCGAGCUCGACACGAAGAAACGAAAGCCGGCCAAUGCAGUCCGAGAGAUCACACAGCGAACUGUUCGAGUCUGGGCUUUUGUUUCUUCGUGUCGGUCUUGCUUCUGUCUCCGGCCGGAGGAACAAAAUUGUACAGACAUGGAUGGGAAGAACUCCUGUAAUAUCAAGAGUCCUUCUAUCUUUGGAUUGUUAUAAUAAUAUUAUCUUCAAAACAAAAUUUAUGCAAGUGGGGGUAUAUUUUUUAUUUUUUGUUUUUGAAAAUAGGAAGUUUUAUACAAAAUAUAAAAAAAUCUUAUAUGAAAGAUAGGUAUAAUCUUGUUAUGUUAUUUGAAAACAUUUUUUAAAAUUGACAGAAGUAAAAAAAUUUCAAUUCCAUAAAUUUUUAAAUUUUGAAAAAGUCUUUAAGAAGGGUAGGUAAGAGGAUGCUUGUUAAUGGUUAGAAAAUAGUUUUAUAUGUUUUAGAACAAAAGAAUAAUAAAAAAAAACAUGCUUAGUGAUUAGAAAACAGUUUAUACUCUUAAAAAACAAAAAAUCGGAGUGUUUUUAGAUAAUAUCUUUUAAUUUUUAAAAUUAUUUUUAUUUAUUGAAAAAUAAUCAUACAAAAUGCAGAAUGAUUAUGAGUAAAGUAUUACAUGUGAAACUUAUUUUUAAAAAAUAUUUAAAAACAUAAAAAAAAAAGUUAAUAACAGUUCAAGUUUCCAAACAAACUAUUAUUUUACAAAAUAUUAAAUAACAAUUUUAAAAAAUAGUUUUAAAAAAUACUUUUCGAACACAAUUUAAAUUUUUUUCUUUUUGCAUAAAAAUUCUUAUAUUUUGUAUAAGAGUUUUUAUUUUUAAAAAUAAAAAAAUAAGAAAUAUAUUCAAAGAUAUUUAAUAAACAAUAAAAUUCAAAAGAGAAAGCCUUAAAUUUUAUGUUAUUAUUGUAAAAUGAGAAUAAAUGUGACUCAAAUAAUAGUAGGGAUGACUAUGUAUUAUUUUAAUAAUAUAUAUAUAGAGGGGCGGGGGGAAGAAAUCAAAGAAAAGUGUUGAGAGAAUGAAAGAAAGAGAGAGAGAAUGAGAGGAAGAAAAUUUCUUCUUUUUCUCGGAAUGCUCUUACAUGGGGUGUAAGAACCCUUUUAUAGGAUUCAUAAGAUGAACUCCCAUUACUCAUCUUAAAGAUGAGUAAAUGGAGUUCAUAAAUGACCAUCAAUGUGGUCAUUCAUCACUUCAUUUACAACAUUUCCCCUUGGAUGACCACCAUAUUAAAAGAAUAUGUUUCAUUAAAACCUUGUUAGUAAAAAUUUUUAUAGGAAAAACCUAGUGAAGGAAAAAGAGUACAAUAUUCUUUUCUUGGUAUAUUAGGACUACCUCGUUAAAAACCUUGCCAGUAAAACCCAGUAGGACAAAACCUGGACGAAGGAAAAAAGAGUACAGUACACUAACACCCUUUUACAAGCAUACUCCCCCUCAUGUCAAUAUCCUUGAGUUGACGCAUUCCAAUCAUGUAUAUUAAUUUCUUGAAUGUUGAGGUUGACAAUGAUUUUGUGAAUAAAUCUGUUAGAUUAUCACUUGAGCGUAUUUGUUGCACAUCAUUUUCACCACUCUUCUAGAGUUCAUGUGUAUAAAAGAAUUUUGGUGAAAUGUGUUUAGUUCUAUCUCUUUUAAUAUAACCCCCUGUUAUUUGUGUAAUGCAUGUAGCAUUAUCUUCAAAUAAUAUUGUCGGGUCACCUUUGAUAGAGGAGAGUCCACAUGAUUCCCGAAUAUGUUGGAUCAUAGAUCUUAGCCUUAUACAUUCAUGACUUGCUUCAUGAAUUGCUAGUAUUUCUGAAUGAUUUGAUGAUGUGGCCACCAUUGUUUGUUUGACAUAUCUCCAUGAAAUAGCAGUACCAUUGCAAUUAAACACAUACCCUGUUUGUGACCUACCUUUAUGUGGAUCUGAAAGAUAUCCUGCAUCUGCAUAUCCAAGCAAUUGUUGCUUUGAUUCCGUUGAGUAAAAUAAACCCAUAUCAGUAGUUCCGCAAAGAUAACAUAAUAUAUGUUUGAUACCAUUCCAAUGUCUUCGAGUUGGAGUGGAAUUGUAUCUUGCUAAUAAAUUGACAGAAAAAGCAAUGUCUGGAUGUGUACAAUUGGCAAGAUACAUAAGUGCACCAAUAGCACUAAGAUAUGGUAUUUCAGGACCAAGUAACUCUUUUUUUUUUUUUCGCAAGGACGAAAUGAGUCAUUUUUCACAUCAAGUGAUUGGACAACCAUUGAAGAACUUAAAGGAUGCGCUUUAUCCAUAUAAAAACGCUUCAAAACUUUGUUAACGUAUGUUGAUUGAUGUACUAAAACUCCAUUUGGAAAAUGCUCGAUCUGCAGGCCGAGAUAAAAUUUUGUUUUUCCAAGAUCUUUCAUCUCAAAUUCCUUUUUCAAGUAAUUUGUUGUUCUUGUGAGCUCUUAAGAAGUUCCAACAAGAUUUAAGUCAUCGACAUACACUGUAAUAAUUGCAAAUCCGGUUUCUGAUUUCUUAAUGAAGAUGCAUGGGCAUGUAGGGUUAUUCACGUAUCCUUCUUUUAGCAAAUAUUCGCUAAGACGAUUGUACCAUAUGCGUCCAGAUUGCUUUAAUCCAUACAAUGAUCGUUGUAACUUGAUUGAGUACAUGCUACGAGACUUUAUACUAUUUUCUCCAGGCAAUUUAAAUCCUUUAGGGAUUUUCAUGUAUAUAUCAUUAUUCAUGGAUUCGUAUAAAUAUGUUGUAAUAACAUCCAUGAGAUGCAUAUCCAAUCCUUCUGAGACUACCAAAUUGAUUAAGAAACAAAAUGUGAUUGCAUCCAUGACGAGAUAAUAUGUUUCUUCGUAGUCAAUACCAGGUCUUUGCGAGAAACCUUGUGCUACUAAUCGCGCUUUAUAUCUUAUGAUCUCAUUAUUCUCAUUGCGCUUUCGUACAAAUACCCAUUUGUACCCAACAGGCUUUACAUCUUCAGGUGUUUAGACUACAGGUCCAAAAACUUCUUGUUUUGUUAAUGAGUUUAACUCUGCUUGUAUAGCUUCAUUCAGUUUUAGCCAAUCAUUUCUAUGUCAACAUUCUUCCACAUUUCGUAGUUCGGGAUUUUCAUCAUUUCUUUUGACUUUAGAGGCCACUUGGAAAGCAAAAAUAUUGUUAAUAACAAUAUUAUUUAAAUCCAUUUUUUCUCCCGUGUGUACAUAACUUACUGAGAUAUCACAAUUUUUAGGUACCUGUGCCUCUUCAAGGGCUUCUCGUUCAAUAUGUGCCUCUUCAAAGGCUUUUUGCAUUAUUUAUGCCUCUUCUAGGGCUAUAGAUUUAUCAAUUUUAAAUUGAUCAGUCAUUUUGAUGGCCUCUUCUAGAGUGCCAAGUUUUUCUUCGGUUCUCAUUUUCUAGGAAGUUACAUCAUUUGAGCCGACAAGUUUACCACGCUUCAGGCAUAUCUUAAAUUCAUUUGUUAACUGUCCUAUAGGGACAUCAAUCCGUGCUGGAGUAUUUGUAGUCGGGAUAUGUUACUUUGUCACUUUCUUUGUAUUAAUGAAUGCAUCUGGUAAUUGAUUUGCAAGAUUUUGCAAAUGAAUGAUCCUUUGGAAGAUGGGUCAUAGUAGAUGCCUUCCAACUAAUUUCUCAUGGUUCUUCAGGAAUCGACUUUUCUCCCCUUAAUGAUGGGAAAACACUCUCAUUAAAAUGACAAUCCGCAAAGCGGGCAGUAAAAACAUCACCUGUCAAAGGUUCAAGAUAUCUUAUGAUAGACGGAGAAUCAAAACCUACAUAAAUCCUAAGUCUUCGUUGGAAAUCCAUUUUAGUGCGUUGUGUAGGUGCAAUUGGUACAUAUACUGCACAACCAAAGAUUUGUAAGUGAGAGAUAUUUGGUUGUUUUCCAAGCACAAGUUGUGAAGGGGAAUAUUCAUGGUAAGUUGUAGGUUGAAUAUGGACUAAAGCUACAACAUGCAUAAUAACAUGUCCCUAGGUAGAAGUAGGUAAUUUGGUUUUCAUUAGUAAUGGUCGAGCUAUUAAUUGGAGACGUUUGAUGAAGGAUUCUGCUAAGCCAUUUUGGGUAUGAGUAUGAGCAACAAGAUGCUCAAUAUUUAUCCCUACUGACAUGCAAUAGUCAAUGAAUGUUUGAGAAGUAAAUUCUCCAGCAUUAUUAAGACGUAUUGUCUUAAUUGGAUAAUAUGAAAAUUGUGCUCGUAAUAUGAUUAUUUGUGCAAGGAGUCUAGCAAAGGCAACGUUACGUGUAGAAAGGAGACAAACAUGUGACCACCUAGUAGAAACAUCUAUUAAGAUCAUAAAAUAACGGAAUGGUCCACAUGGUGGAUGGAUAGGCCCACAUAUGUCCCUAUGUAUUUUUUCUAAAAAGACUGGUGACUCAGAUAUAACUUUAGUAAAAGAUGGUCUGAUUAUCAAUUUACCUUAUGAGCAGGCAACACAUGAGUAUUCAUUGGGUGAAAGAAUCUUCUAGUUCUAUAGUGGAUGUCAAUGUGAGUGUUCGAUUAUUCGACACAUCAUUGCAGACCCUGGGUGACCUAGCCUGUCAUGCUAAAGUACAAAAACUUUUGGGUCGUUGAACUUCUGGUUCACGACAACAUAUGAUUCAAUAGGCUUUAUAGUUGUAUGAUACAACCCAGAGGAGAAAGUCGGGAGUUUUUCCAUUAUAAGCUUCUGACCAGAUAUAAUGGAAGUAAUGUAAAGAUGUUCUAUAUUAUCUUCAUUCAUAGUUUCAAUAUGAUAUCCAUUUCUGCGGAUAUCUUUAAAACUAAGCAAAUUUAUUCUGGAUUUGCUAGAAUAUAAAGCAUCAUUUAUAUGAAAUCUAGUUCCAUUUGGCAACGUUAUGUUUGCUCUUCUAGAACCUUCAACUAAGUUUGUAGUACUAGAUAUGGUACUUACAUUAGCUUUUAUUAAUGUCAAUUCAAGGAAAUAUCUUUUAUCUCGAAGAAUUGUGUGCUUGGUCGCACAGUCUACGAGACACACAUCAUCCUCAUUCAUCUUGAGACCAAAUAACACAUGGAUUUCAGAUAUAACAAAAUAAAACAAGGCAUAAUGUAAAUAACAAAGUAAAUCAGAUGUAAAUAUAAGACAUAAUAAUAUAUUAUUUCAUAUAUAAAGUAACAUCAAUUAAUGUUAAUUUUCUCAUCAUUUAUCAAAUGGUCUAUUUUUUCAUUGGGACCUUCAAAGAAAUCAAUGUCAUAGUAGGUUAGGUCCAAUCCAUCACCAUCAGUAAAGUUCAUCUUUAUCUCUUUUCCUUUUGCUUUUAUUGAUGCUUGGUAAAGGUCGACUAAAUGUUUGGGCGUACGACAGGUAUGCGACCAAUGCCCCUUCAUACCACAUCUAUAACAAUUAUUCUCGUGGUUCUUAGGAGGUUUAUCUUGUAAAUGCUUCCCAUUUUCUUGUAUUGUCUCAGUAUUGUUCCAUUUCUGGUGGUGCAACGAGGCUUUCAUUUUCUGAGAAUUAUUACUAUAAGAACCAUGGUAUCGGGGAUUUUUUCCACGAUCAUGACCACGUCCAUGAAUUUGGACGAUAUUGCAUUCACUUUAAGGAAUGGUUCAGAUCCAGUUGGACGAGAUUGAUGAUUUCUCAUUAAAAGCUCAUUAUUUUGUUUAGUAACAAGAAGACAUGAUAUUAAUUCAGAAUAUUUUGUAAAUCUACACUUUCUAUAUUGCUGUUGCAGGAGCACAUUCGAGGCAUGAAACGUAGUAAAAGUUUUCUCUAACAUGUCUUCUUCUAUGAUUUUUUCUCCAUGUAGCUUUAAUUGAGAGCUGAUUUUGAAAAGUGCGGAGUUGUAUUCACUAAUAGUUUUAAAAUCUUGCGACCUUAGGUGCAUCCAAUCAUAUCAAGCUUUUGGGAGAAUCACAGUUUUCUGGUGGUCAUAUCUUUCCUUCAAAUUACUCCAUAGAGUAAAAAAGUCCUUUACCGUAAAAUACUCAUUUUUUAAACCUUCAUGGAGGUGAUGACGAAGGAAAAUCAAUGCUUUUGCGCGAUCCUGCAGGGAUGCUUGAUUUCCUUCUUUGAUUGUAGCUCCAAGGUUUAUUGCAUCAAGAUGUAAUUCAACAUCAAGGAUCCAAGAUAGAUAAUUCUUUCCCGAAAUGUCAAGUGCCACAAAUUUGAGUUUUGUGAUAUUCGACAUUGUCAAAUAACUUCAUAUAUAUGACAAAACAAUAUUAUUAGAAUCAAUUAUAAUAACUUAAUAGCAUUGGUAUAACUUUGAUUAUAAACAAAAUCAAAUAAUUUGUUUAUAAUUUUUAACAAUAUGUAACAAAACAAAUCAACAAUAAUAUAAAUAUGUAAAAUUUUAUCCUAUAUAAAUAACUUCAAGUUUAAGAUACGAGAAUUACCUUCAGAACAAUUCGUGCUAAUAAUGUGUUGUAAAAAGAGAAUAAAUGUGACUCAGAUAAUAGUAGGGAUGACUAUGUAUUACUUUAAUAAUAUAUAUAUAUAUAUAAAGGGGGAGGGGGGGAAGAAAUCAAAGAGAAGUGUUGAGAGAAUGAAAGAAAGAGAGAGAGAGAGAGAAUGAGAGGAAGAGAAUUUUUUUUUUCUCGAGAUGCUCUUACAUGGGGUGUAAGAAGCCUUUUAUAGGCUUUAUAAUAUAAACUCCCAUUACUCAUUUUAAAGAUGAGUAAAUGGAGUUCAUAAAUGACCAUCAAUGUGGUCAUUCAUCACUUCAUUUACAACAGUUAUUAAUUUGUUGUAUUACUUAGAGGGGGUGAAUGAAUUGAAAGCACUAUGGAGGUAAGCUUUUUAGUUUUUUCACCUUAUCCUCUUUAUACAUAAUGUCUCCAUCAAUGAUGUUCAGUAUAUUCCUUAUUUUUGUUUUACUUAAGUGUUCUUGUAUUGUAGCCCUCUCAAGACUCUUCCUCUUCACUCCAAACAAGUUAAUUGUCUUCAUAUCAAAGUAACAUAAGUUGAUUUUCUUAUAGGGCUAAUGCUACUUAUGUGAUUAUUUUCUUUACAAAAGUUGCAAAUAAUAUUUGAGGAUUCCUUGACAAAAUAAUUUUUAAAUUUUUAUUUUUUUAUUUUUUUUAUUUUUAUAGAGCUUGUAUCCUAAUCCCUUUAUUGCAAAGAUUAUUUUUUUACUUGCCAAAAUUAUCAAAAUUCUUGUCCCCAUUUGAGAAUUUUGAAAGAGAAGAGAUUAACUAAUGAAUUUUCUUUUCAAGUAAGUAUAUAUUUUAUUCCAAGGAAAACCUUAGCCUUUUUUAGAUAUUUUAAACUCCCCUUUUAAGUCAUUAAUUUCAACUUGAAGAGAGAUGAUUUUCUUUUUAAGAUAAGCCUGAAAGUUAUUUGAUCUAGUUUAGGUAACACCUAGAGGAGUUGAAUGGUGUUUAAACUUUUCUGCUCAAAAAUGAAUUAUUUUAUAUUCAUAUAACAAACAUUUUUUCAAUUUAGGAAAGCCUAAAAACACUCAAUACAAAAACAUAAGAUUUUUAUAUGGAAAACCACCCAUAUCAUGUGCGGAUGUAAAAACGACAAGGUCAGACUUUUAAUCAUUAAUAAACUAUUUGAAAGUAUUAUACAUGGUUUUAGUUGGUGGAAGCUAUCGUUAAGUCUUACUACCCAACACCUACAAUGCACUUCACAUUUGCGAUAUAGCACUACGUGUGCUCUUAGUGGAUCUAACCUCAGUGUUUGAGAGGAUGUAGAUCUCCUUUUCAAUCCAACAUAAGCGAAAACAACAUUCCUUGAGAGUUUUAGGAAUAAGAUGACGAAUUUGGUUUUUCAAAAAAUUUGCAUCAAACCAAAAACCUUUUUAGGUAAAACAUUUAUAGGCAUAAGAAGCUGGCAGACUGGAUCUAAAAUUUUCCAAAAUAAGACCUUAAAAAAAAUUAGAAAAUCAAAGUUCCAAAAAUUUUGGAGAAUUCUAUCAUGGGUGUUUGAGUGCUCAUGGGAGCACUUGAGUGCUUAAGGAGAUUUUUUAAACUUUUUAAAAAUUCUUUUAGCUUGGUUUUAAAACCAUUAGUUCGCACCAUGCCUUAACAAACACCAAUUUGUCAUUCUUGAACCUUUUGAUUUUUACUUGUGCCAUCCUGAUUGAUCACAUAACAACUUUGAGUCUUCAAUGAAGAGUAAAACACAAUUUAGAAAGAUUCUAAACUAGAAUGAAAGGAAUUAUAUAGCCUAAUAUACCAACAAUCUUCUCCUAUGAUAAUUUUAUGAAAAAAAAUACAAAUUACAUAAACCCCCUAAUACUCUUCAAUGGAGUUUAAGAAUCUCUCAAUAACUCUCGUCUAAACCAAAUCAUUCUUGAACAUGCAGAUGAUGAUAAAUCACAUCUAAAAGUGGGCAAUACCCCACUACUUGUGACCUGCACACACAAACCAACCAAGUACUCAAGUAAAACAAUGUGUGAGAGAAAACACAACUCAUAAAUUCUAUCAAAUCAAGGUAAGAGUAGAUGGAUGUGAGUCAUGCAUACAAUGGAUAUCUAAUCAAUAGUAUCAAUAAAUUGUCUCCCCAUUUUUGUCGCAAAAAUGACAAAGAAGGAAUAAACAAUGAAUGCACAUAAGAGAAAGAGAAACAAUUAAGCAAAAGAACUUCAACUUAUUUUUAGAAUGCUUCUUUCUUGGUAAGAUCUCUUAAGAAACCCUUCUUGAAAAUAGUUUUUUUUUUUUUGUUUUGUUUUUUAUGAUGGAAAAUUGUUUUCUACCUUAAAAACUAUAUUUGGUAAAAUUUCACUAAAAUAAUUUUUUGAAAAUAGGUUUUUUUUUUGGAACAAACGCUUUUAAAUAUAUAUAUAUAUAUAUAUAUAUAUAUAUAUAUAUAUAUAUAUAUAUAUAUAUAUAUAUAUAUAUAUAUAUAUAUAUAUAUAUAUAUAUAUAUAUAUUGUAGAAUAUUUCAAGAAAUAGUUGAAAAUAUGAAAAAUGUUUCAAGAACCUUUGUAUCUUAGAUUUGUGCACUUCAGUUUCAUGAAUAAUAUUAAACUAAGAAAACUGUUAUUUAUAUAUUAAUUUCUAAAUAAAAUUUUGUUGCUGGAAAUAAUUAAAAUUUAUUUUAAAAAACUAUUUUCAAGAAUUAUUUUUGAAAACGUUGCUAAAAAGACAAAAGUCCUUGGUCAUUUUUUUUUCUUUUAUAUUUUUAUCUUUAUCUAAGAGGCCGGUCUUUUUUUUUUUUUAAUGUUCCAUAAUCCUUGUGAAAUUGUAACGUGUAAUUCAUUUAUUUGACUUCAAAAGUUAAGAAAUAAUGAACCUUUCAUUAUUGUAGUUUGUCUUGUAGUAAGAGACUUAAAAAUCCACGUACAAGAUGUCUUUCUUUCUUAAGUCAAGUCAACAAAAUGGAGGUGGAAGAAAUAAUGAACUUUCAUUAUUGUAGUUUGUCUUGCUAAAAGCUAUGUAUAACGGGUCUUCGUAAGUCAAAUCAAUAAUCAAAUUAAAAGAAAUAAUAAACUUCCAUUAUUCUAUUUUAGAGACUUAAAAAGCCAUAUAUAACGGGUCUUCUUUUCUUAAGUCAAGUCAAUAAAAUAAAAGUAGAAGAAAUAAUGAACUUUCAUUAUUGUAGUUUGUCUUGCUAAAAGCCAUGUAUAACGGGUCUUCGUAAGUCAAAUCAAUAAAUCAAAUUAAAAGAAAUAAUAAACUUUCAUUAUUGUAUUUUAUCUUGUAGCGAGAGACUUAAAAAGCCAUGUAUAACGGGUCAUCUUUUCUUAAGUCAAGUUAAUAAAUCAAAUUAAAAGAAAUAAUAAACUUUUAUUAUUGUAUUUUAUAUUGUAGCAAGAAACUUAAAAAGCCAUGUAUAAUGGGUCUUCUUUUCUUAAGUCAAGUCAAUAAAUCAAAUUAAAAGAAAUAAUAAACUUUUAUUAUUGUAUUUUAUCUUGUAGCGAGAGACUUAAAAAGCCAUAUAUAACGGGUCAUCUUUUCUUAAGUCAAGUCAAUAAAUCAAAUUAAAAGAAAUAAUAAACUUUUAUUAUUAUAUUUUAUAUUGUAGCAAGAGACUUAAAAAACCAUGUAUAAUGGGUCAUCUUUUCUUAAGUCAAGUCAAUAAAUCAAAUUAAAAGAAAUAAUAAAUUUUUAUUAUUGUAUUUUAUAUUGUAGCAAGAGACUUAAAAAGUCAUGUAUAAUGGGUCUUCUUUUCUUAAGUCAAGUCAAUAAAUCAAAUUAAAAGAAAUAAUGAACUUUUAUUAUUGUAUUUUAUAUUGUAGCAAGAGACUUAAAAAACCAUAUAUAACGGGUCUUCUUUUCUUAAGUCAAGUCAAUAAAUCGAAUUGGAAGUUUUUCCUUUUUUUUUUUUUUUAAACCAACUUCUACUAUUACUUUUAUUAGUUAUUUUGAUCAUUUGAUUAAAUAUUGAAUUAUUAUUAUUUUUUUAAAAUUUUCAAGUACAAACCAUUUCAUGUUAAAAAAUUUAAAGUGGAUCUAACUUUCUUUACAAGUUAAGAUAUCUUGAUUAAAGGAUAAAUAAUGGAUUGUAAUAUUUCAACUUUAAUUAAGUUAAUUUAUCAAUAUUCAAACUAAGUUGGAGAAAAAAAAAAGACAACACCUCAAUUUUAGUUUUCCAUUACACAUGGUUAUUUCUUUUUCUUCUUUUUCUUUUGCUUAUUUGACACACAAUGGCAGCUCUAGUCAUCAUACCUUUCAAGACUCUAAACUCACACAAAUUUUCAAUCUUUUCAUCAUAUCUUUUAAAAUUCUUGUCACUCAUAAAGUAUUUAAGACUUAAUUUUAAUAAAUUCAUAUUUUUAUAACUAUAACUAAGAGCUUUGACCUAUUAAAAAAUGAAUCAAAAAUCGUUUGCAAGACAUUAAAAUUUCAUAAUUAUUUCUUUUACCUUAAAUGUAGUUGUUAUGUGUUUGCUAGUUCACAUAUUUGCAAUAUACCCUAGGAUGGUUGAGCUAUGUAACAUGCUUCUCGGAAUCAAUUCAUUCGGUUUUUUUUUUUUCCUUUUCCCUUUUGGUUCUACUCAUUUUAAUGUAAAGAAGAACCAAAACAUAUUCACUAGUUGAUUUUACCCUUGGUUGCACAACUAACCAUAUGGAGUCUAGACUUGAAAAUUUUAUGCAUUUUGGGUCUAACAAGUUAUGAUACUUAGACCUAGCAUUACAUGUGAAAGAAAACAAAAAAGUAAUAAUAAAAAUAUAAUUCUCAUUGGAAAAUUAAAAUUGUUAUGAAAUAUUUUAUUUUCUCAUAUGUUGUUUAGAUAUUGAUGGAUUGACUUGUUAAUUAAAGUUGAAAUAUUCUAAUAUUUUUCUGUCAUCAAGGUGUCUUAUGUGGUGACUCAAAAAUAGUAUUAAUAAAUGAUAAAAGAGAUUGUUGCUAAUCUUCAAAAUUAUAAAAAGUUUAUACACUUUGCUAGUCUUCAAAAUUAUAAAGCGUUUAUACUUUAAAAAAACAAAAUAAAUAAACAUUAGUCUAUAUUGAAUGUGUUAAUAUGAAGUACAUUGUAGCUAUAAUUUUUUAAAGGAUUAAAGAAAAAAACCAUUCAAUAUUUUGCUAGGUAUAAAAAAUCUUAUUUAUUACAAAUUAUUUUGUAGAUGAUGAAUCAUUGAUGAAGAUAGGCUAAGGAAUUUAUAAAAGGUAAAAAGUAAUUAUUCAUAUAAAUGAAAAGUGAAGGUUAUAUUUGUUAAGUAUCUUUAAAAGGGGAUUUCAAAACAUUACUUUCUCUAAUAAUAAUAAUGUAAACUCAAAAUAUAUGUAAAUGAAAAUAAAAAAUAGUAUUUUUAUAAACUUAAAAAUAAUAUAUUUGUUUUUUUAAAUAUUUUUAGUCAUAAUUAAAGGUCAUCAUAUCUGUCAAAAAUUUAUCUUUAUAUUAUUUAUUUUAAAAAUGAUUAUUCAUUAAGAAUCAUUUUGAUAAAAGGUAAAAAAUAAUUACCAUAUAAAUUAAAAGUGGAGGUUAUAUUUGUUAAUUAUUUAUAAAAGGGGAUUUCAAAACAUUACCUUCUCCAAAAAUAACAAUAAUAAUAAUAUAAACACAAUAUUGACUCAAAAUAUUAUGUAAAUGAAAAACUUAAAAAUAAUAUAUAUUUGUUUUUUUUUUUUUAAUAUUUUUAGUCAUAAUUAAACUUCAUCUACUCAUCACGUUUGUGGGAAUGGUAUAUAAGUCAAUGCCUGCUUUGCUCAGAAAUCAAAAACCAAAACUUGUUAAUCCUUGUUAUUACACACUAUCCUUGCUCUGUGUUGAACAUGGGUACAAGCCCCUUUCGAUAUUUUAUUUCCUUUUUUCUGCUUAUGCUAUGUUUUGAAGCCUGUUUGAGGGUGGGUGAUGCUAAAGUUGGGUGCAGAGAGAGGGAAAGGCAAGCACUCCUUCACUUCAAACAAGGUGUUGUGGAUGAUUUUGGAAUGCUUUCUUCUUGGGGGAAUGGGGAAGACAAAAGAGAUUGUUGCAAAUGGAGAGGAGUCGAGUGUGACAACCAGACGGGUCAUGUGAUCGUGCUUGAUCCUCAUGCUCCGUUUGAUGGAUAUUUGGGAGGUAAGAUUGGUCCUUCAUUGGCAGAGUUGCAGCACUUGAAGCAUUUGAACCUCAGCUGGAAUGAUUUUGAAGGUAAUUAUAUACAUAUAUACCUUGUGAAAAUUCAUCAAUUUGUCUCAGCAGAAUAUAAUUCUCUAUUUUUCCAAUUUUACAGGAAUUCUUCCCACUCAACUCGGAAAUCUUUCCAACUUGCAAUCCCUUGAUCUCGGCCAUAGUUUUGGGUUUAUGACCUGUGGAAACCUUGAGUGGCUUUCUCACCUUCCUUUGUUAACACACCUUGACUUGAGUGGGGUUCAUCUUAGUAAAGCAAUCCAUUGGCCACAAGCAAUUAAUAAAAUGCCUUCCCUAACUGAGUUGUACUUGAGUUAUACUCAGCUUCCUCCGAUUAUUCCAACAAUAUCCAUUUCCCAUAUUAAUUCCUCCACUUCUCUUGCUGUGCUUGAUCUCUCCGUGAAUGGUCUCACUUCUUCAAUAUACCCAUGGUUGUUCAACUUCAGUAGCAGCCUUGUUCAUCUUGACCUCUCUAUGAAUGAUCUAAAUGGUUCAAUUCCGGAUGCUUUUGGAAACAUGACUACUCUGGCAUAUCUUGGUCUCUAUGGGAACGAGCUACGUGGUUCAAUUCCGGAUGCUUUUGGAAACAUGACUAGUCUGGCAUAUCUUUAUCUCUCUUCAAAUCAGCUUGAAGGUGAGAUUCCGAAAUCCUUGAGAGAUUUAUGUAAUUUACAGAUACUAUACUUGUCUCAGAACAAUCUCACUGGACUGUUGGAAAAAGAUUUUCUGGCCUGCUCUAAUAACACAUUAGAGGUUUUAGAUUUAUCUCAUAAUCAAUUCAAAGGGUCAUUUCCCUGGCUUUCAGGAUUUUCACAGUUGAGAGAAUUAUAUCUUGAAUUCAAUCACCUAAAUGGAACUUUACCUGAAAGUAUUGGACAACUGGCUCAACUUGAAGUGUUGUCCAUUCGUUCAAAUUCAUUGCGAGGCACUGUCUUGGCAAACUACCUUUUUGGUCUCUCCAACCUGUCUGUCUUAGACUUAUCUUUCAACUCCCUUACAUUCAACAUAAGCCCUGAGCAAGUUCCCCAGUUUCAAGCCUCUCGUAUAAUGUUGGCCUCUUGCAAAUUAGGACCACAUUUUCCUAAUUGGCUUCAAACUCAAAAAUAUUUGUUGGACCUUGAUAUCUCUGCUUCUGGAAUUUCUGAUGUCAUUCCCAGUUGGUUUUGGAAUUUAAAUUCAGGUUUAGCAUGGUUAAACAUUUCCAACAAUCACAUCUCAGGCACUUUGCCAAAUUUACAAGGAAUAUUUUAUUUGGGAAUGUGGGAUAUGAGUUCAAAUUGCUUGGAAGGUUCAAUACCACAAUUUCUUUUCAAUAAUGAAUGGUUGUAUCUCUCCAAGAACAUGUUUUCAGGCUCAAUUUCUUUAUCUUGCCGGAUUGCUAAUCUGUCUGGUUCGGGUUUGUCCCAUCUUGAUCUCUCAAAUAAUCGACUGUCAGGAGAACUACCCAAAUGUUGGGAGCAGUGGAAACAUCUAAUUGUUCUUAAUUUGGCAAAUAAUAAUUUUUCUGGGAAAAUUAAAAAUUCAAUUGGCUUGUUAUAUCGGAUUCAAACAUUGCAUUUACGCAACAAUAGUUUAACCGGAGCAUUGCCUUUGUCCUUAAAGAACUGCAAAGAUUUGUGUCUUGUAGAUUUUGGAAGAAAUAAAUUAUCAGGCAAAAUACCUGCAUGGAUGGGAAGAAGCCUAUCAAGUUUGAUUGUUCUCAACCUAAGAUCCAAUGAAUUUAAUGGAGGCAUACCUUUAAAUCUAUGUCAAUUGAAAAAUAUUCAAAUGUUGGACCUCUCAAACAACAAUCUAUCUGGUACUAUACCAAAAUGUCUCAACAAUUUAAGUGCCUUAACUCAAAAAGGGAGUUUGGUCAUUUCUUAUUAUGAAGGAGAGUUGAAUGGUUGGAAGCUCUCCUAUCUUGAUAAUACAUUGGUUCAAUGGAAAGGAAAAGAACUAGAGUACACUAAAACUCUUGGACUUGUGAAGAGCAUUGAUUUUUCGAAUAACAAGUUAAUAGGAGAAAUUCCGUCAGAAGUAACUGAUUUGGUAGAAUUGGUGUCAUUGAACUUAUCAAGAAACGAUUUGAUUGGACCAAUCCCUGCAACCAUUGGUCAAUUGAAAUUAUUAGAUUCUCUUGAUCUAUCUCAAAACCAGCUUAAUGGUAGAAUUCCAGAUAGUCUUUCUCAAAUAGCUGGUCUAAGUGUUUUAGACCUAUCAAAUAACACCUUGUCAGGUAAAAUUCCAUUAGGCACUCAAUUACAGAGCUUUAAUACCUCCACAUACGAGGGAAAUCCUGAACUUUGUGGGCUACCUCUUUUGAAAAAGUGUCCAAAAGAUGAACCUGGGGAAGCCUCCUUCAUUGGUUUUAGUAGUAAAACAGAGGAUAUUCAAGAUGAUGCAAAUAAUAUAUGGUUUUAUGGAAAUAUCGUUCUUGGAUUCAUCGUCGGAUUUUGGGGAGUUUGUGGCACUUUACUACUCAAUAGUUCAUGGAGAUAUGCCUAUUUCAAGUUCUUGAACAAGAUAAAAGACCGAGUGUAUGUGACAACAACAAUAAAUAUGAAUAGACUAUGGAGGAGCUUCCAAAUUUAAAUGGUAAGAUUUCUCAAAUUCUCUCCUUAGUCUUUUUAAUAAAUUAUAUUACCUUAGUAGCCUCUUUCUAUUAUUGCUCAAAUCCCUAUUCUAUUAAUUAACUUACCUUCCACAACUUAUGGAGAUAAAAUAAGAUUUUUCAAAUAAAAAUAUCAUAUUUUAUUUGAUUAGAUGUGAAAUUCAACUAUAACUAAGGAAGCCUUGAAUAUUUUGAUAUACCAAAUAUAACAACACCACAUUUUUAGUUCUCAUUGUACAUAUAGAUAAAUGUUAUGGCUUGAGAAUCAUAGUUGAAAAAUUAUAAUUAUCACUAUUUUUUUCUCAUCUUGCUUUUACUUACAGUUGUACCUUUUGCUGAAGUUCAGUCAACUUGCUUUAAGAAUAUUUGAGGUUUUAUUGUAAGAAGCAUACUACCAUACUUUCCUUUAUAUUAAUCAAGAAAAGUAAAUUUGCUUCUAUUGAAGACAUUUUUUUCAAAUUGAUGAAUAUUAUUUCAUUUGUUGUAUUGCAGAACUUCAAUUGGGUUGCAUCUCAAGGAUUAGUAGGUAAUAUAUGCUUGUGAGUAAUGAGUUUAUUUAGUAUUGGACAGCCUGAAUGUAAGAGCAUUUGUGUUUAUUGAACUCAUCAUCUUAUAAAUAACUUUGGCGUGUAUUAAGUUUGUUUAUUUGAUAAUAGGCGUGGCUUAAGUUUCUUAUGUUAUGCUCUAUUUAGAGCGAAUCAAAUAUAUUAGAGGAUGAUAUCAAGUCCUUUGUGGUGCAAUGCUAGAAACUACUUCGCUUUAAAAAAAACGUUUUCUUUUGCUCAAAAACCAGUAGCAACUAAAGCCAUAAUUUAAAAUGGGACAUGGUAAGACUAAGAACAGAAACUGAGCACUCUGUUUUUCUGGUGCCCAAGCAUGGAAGUUAUUAUAAUAAAAAGAAACAGCUGGUCAGAAUAAAACAAAAUUCAAAACAUGGUGUUUCUCACAAUGCAUAUUGAGGCUUCAUCCACUGAUAUUCCACAACAGAUUAACCGUCAAAAACCCUUAUGUUGAGUAGGAGAAAAGAAGCUCCAUACUUCUCAGGACAUACAGAACAACACCUUGGGUAGAGACCUUGACCAUGCUUGCAGAAAUGUGUUUUUGGAGCAGCAAUCCGAAGUAUAGGAGGCUUCAUAUUUGGGAACACUCCUCAUUCAAUGUAUCAUUGUGACUGAGAUGACUACAUAUUGAGGUUUGAUCAGUUCUAGGAAGGUGACUGGUUAUCAUAAAGCAUUUACCAACCAUUCUUGAAUACAUACUUAUGUGAUUUAGCAGGAUGGAACUGCAACUAGUCAUUAAUUAAGCAACAAAAAUGGCUGUGGUAAGAUUCUGAGACAUUGAUUGUAUAUUCCAUUGUUUUUUAUUUGAGGUUAAAUUCGGCUUUUGUUUUUUUUACUUUUUAAUUCUCUACUGCUUACAUGCCUCUUGUAUCUGAAGAGGCUAAUUGUUCAUGCGGUUGAAUUUUGCAACAUUUUCUUAUUGUUCGGGGCUUAAGCUUCUGUUCAUUUUUUCAUUAUUAUGUUUUUGUGCUUUGUUUUUUAUGACUAAUCCCAUGCCACAUAGUGAAGUGUUCACAGAGAAUGACUGGAAAUUUGUCCAGCUUGGGCUUGCUCUAUUUUAGAACAUUUUAGCCAUUCAAGACAUCUCGUUGCAGUAGAAGGCUGGGAGUCUGCACGCCACUCAAUUUUUAUCUCUGAGUAACCAAUUUUUGGUGCUGUUAUUCUUCAUUGAUUUAGAAGAUGAGCUGUUAUUUUUGGGGAUAUCUGUGUUAUAAUACACAAUAGUAUGCAUUGGGAUAUGCUACUACUGAAAACAGAACAAUCUGUUUUUGUGGCGUCCAAGCAUAAAAGCUAUUGUCACACAGCGAGGUCUGAUUUCCAACUGUGAAUCAAAUUGCUCGAGGUACUUCAUAUGCAGAUCGCUGCAAGUGGCUUUGGCCAUCAAUCUCCUUCAGGGGAUGAUAAUAUUGAGAUUGCAGUGAAGGUUUGGGUGUUUGUCACAAUGCCUGUUGAAGCGUCAUCAGAUGAUAUUUAGUCAUCAGAUGAUAUUUAAUGACAGAUAGGGUAUCUGUGGGGUUGAAAUCUCAUUACAUGCGGCAACACAGUUCUUGAUAUUUAAUGACAGAACGGUAAGCGAACUUUAUAUGUAGUUUUUUCCCUUCUCAUGGGUUCAUUUGUAAGUGUCCCAAUUUUCAAACAGAUGAAUAAUGGAUGGUGAAAGUGUCCUACACAUCAUAGAACAAAGAACAAGGAACAAGGAUCAGGAGUUCCCUUUACCUCUUGGGAUCUGUGUUGACACAUCCAUCUCAAAUUUCACUACUUGCAUUUUCUUUUGGGAAGUUUUUAUUGAGGACAGAAUAAUAAAUUAGCAUAUAGCUCUGUGAUAUCUGUCUAACCAUGCUGGCUUUUCCAUUUUGCAGAUUUGCAUGCUAGAUUUAGUGCUUAAACUAUCACUGGAAGAUUCUAAAGAGCCUCAAACAGCCCACAUCCUUCUUUAAAAGUUAGAUUUAUGAUCAGACUGAUCAAGGGUUGACUCAUUUUCUCUUGAAUCUGAUCAAAUCCUUCGACUCUCAUACUAACCCAAAAGGUUUCCCCUUUCAUUUCAACAACUUAGAAGUUCAUUGUUGAUGAUGAUGUUGCUGUUAUAUUCAUUAUUAUUACAACUAAUUUGAUAAGCAAUUAUUGUUAUUAUUUUUCUUUAUCUUAUAACACAAUCAUAUGAUAAAUGGAAUAUAAUGUCAUGACUGCAUUGAAAUUCUUGACCAAACAGAAAAAUGGGAAAUUUUGCUGUCUAUUUUAAAGCAUUGUAAUCAAUAUAGGGUAUCAUGAUGAUGAAUCAAGUCAACCUUGCCCCUACACUUUUGUGGUUGUGAAUGCAUUGAAAGAAAGUAAUAAUUCAGUCUGUGAAUCAAACAGGCCAUUAGUUCUUCGAAAGACUGAUACUCGAGAUGAAUGGGAAUUUGAGGCUGUAAGGCUGGGACGAUGAUGUAAACGGCACUCGCCAAUGGGUUCCUGAAUGGUCUGCAGUUUCUAAUCCAUGUGAUAUUGCUGGGGCUUGCCCUGUGUAGCUUGGACUGAAGCAAAACUAAUGCCUCCAGCAUGUACAUGCCUGCUGGGGGCUUCUAAUGUGGGAGACGGCGGCCAGUGCUCAGAGAAUUCUUCGGUGUCAACCGCGAGAUGUGAUAAUAAUCAUCGGAAUUCGACUGCUUCCAAGCUGAAGAUGUCGAUAGUGCAGCAAACUAAGUACUAUUAUCUCAUUUUUCCGAUUAUAGCAAAUUACAGUAACAUCUCGCCAUUAUCACAGUGCGGUGAUGCUUGUUUAUCAGACUGUGAUUGUGCUGCUUCCGUGUUGGCUGCUAAACAACUUGGAGUUUGGUGGAUUCGAGGACACGAGUUCGACCUUGUUUGUGAAGGUUGGGCCUAAGGGAUCACCUGGAGGCAACGCAACAGGAUUUGGGGAUUCAUCUGAUGGCCUCUGAGACAAGGUCUUAGUUCUUCCAAUUGUUCUCAGCAUGACUGUCCUUGUAGGACGACUCUGCUUCUUGUUAUACCACAGUGUGUACAGGAGGAGGGCCUUGAAGAGAGCCCUGGAAAGCCCCUUGAUUGUGUCCGGCGCUCCAAUAAAUUUCAGUUACUGUGAUUUGCAGUGCAGAACCGGCAAUUUGCACAGGUCAGCAUGUACAUAUACAUAUAUAGACUUUGAAAAGGAUGAAAUUGCUUGAACAAAGCCAAUUAGACUUGAUCAAUGAGGAUUAAUGUUGUCUUCUUUUUUUUUUUUUUUUUCAUGAGAGUUUGGGAGUGUAUACAAGAUGGGACAUUGGUUGCAGUGAAGAAGCUUGACAAGCCUCUUGGGAAGAAGGAAUUCAUAACUGAAGUGAAAACUAUUGGCUCUAUGCAUCACAUGAACCUGGUUCAACUCUGCGGCUACUGCUCAGAAGGCUCUCACCAGUAUGCAUUUCAUUUCAUUGCCUAAUACCAAUUACCACUAACCAUAUUUAAAUUCUUAUCAUCCUCUUUGGGGGUCAAGCAUACUAUAUCUUCGAGCUUGUAAUGGGGUUGGAAUUUGAUGAUUCUUCACAGGCUUCUGGUUUAUGAGUUCAUGAAAAACGGUUUCUUGGACAAGUGGAUAUUUCCCUCAAAGCAUUGUCGGGACAGACUGCUAGAUUGGGGAACUCGCUUCCAUAUAGCCAUUGCUACUGCACAAGGUAUUGCUUAUUUUCAUGAGCAGUGCAGGAACCGGAUCAUCCACUGUGAUAUCAAGCCCGAAAACAUACUUCUAGAUGAGAAUUUCUAUCCAAAAGUUUCAGACUUUGGACUAGCAAAGCUGAUGGGCAGAGAGCAUUGACAUGUAAUCACUAUGGUGAGAAGAACUAGUGGUUAUUUGGCUCCAGAAUGGGUGAGCAACCGACUUGUUACUGUAAAAGCCGAUGUCUACAGUACAGAUAGCUUCUUUUGGAGAUCGUUGGUGGCUGGAGAAACCUUGACAUGACUUUUGAUGAAGAAGACUUCUUCAAUCCUGGGUGGGCUUUUAAGGUAUAGAUCAGUCAAGUUCUUGCUUUUGUAAAUCACAAAUUGUUAAGUGUUUGAUAUUUUAUUAACAAAAAUGUCAAUUCCUCUAGGAAAUGAGUAAUGGGACGACGAGAAAAGUUGCAGACAGGCGAUCGACUGGAAGGGGCAAUGGAGGAAGAAGAGCUGGAAGAGCAUUGAAAACCGGCUUUUGGUGCAUUCAAGAUGAGGCUUUCAUGAGGCCUUCAACGGGGGAAGUGGUGAAGAUGUUGGAAGGAUCACUUGAAAUCAACACACCGCCAAUGCCACAGACAGUGCUGUAGCCCAUGGACGAAGGCCUAGACAAUGUAUACAGAGCCAUGAAGAGAGAGUUCAACCAGUCCAGCUUCAUCACCAUCAAUAGUACCCAUCCUUCAUCAAGGGCUACAUGUAGUUAUUCCACAAUGUCACCAAGAUAGCAAAGGAGAAAUGGAACAAAUUUUGUUGCUGUCCAAGAAUUUUAUCCCCAUGAUACUUUGAUACUGUCCAGAAACAUAGUAUUUAUUGACCAUUUGUUAAACUAGUAGAGAACUUUGCAUAAUGUUGUUGCUAAGAUUUCAAAUGGUAAAAGAAAUUAUAUUAAUUGCGAAACAAAAACAUAAACAAUUAGGUUGAGGUACGGAAAUCUCGUUCUUUUAAAGGAGAUUUAAGCCAUUUCUAGUUUGACAAUUUCAGAAAUCGGUAUACUUGACUUCUCUUUGGUUUGUCCCCUCAAGGAUACAAUGGUCCAAGUGAUUUGUUGCAUAGCUCACGUCAAUAUGCAUAAAGCAUAGAACUCAAAGCUAGCGGUUCACAAACAAACCUAUUUUUUUUGGCCAAGAGAAAAUAAAUAAAUAAAAAGGAAGAAGGCAGAAGAUGACUAAAAAAAUGUGUUAAAGUUAUAUGACAUUAGGAGGGUGAGUCAAGGCUAAUCAUAAAGUUUGAAAUGUUCAACAAUUUCAAAAUAAUUCAAUCUCGAUAAAUCCCAUUAACAUAAAUGAUAUUUAAUAUUUUUUAAUUUCCAUAAUUUUACAUUUGUAACUACAAAUUUAAUAACCCAUUAUGCCAACUUUAAUCCCUAUAACUUUCAUAUAUAACCACAACGUUAGUAACUAGUUUCUUUAAUCCCAAAUCUCCAUUUUUUUGAACUUUUAAAAACUUUUUUGGACCUCAUAUGACUUAGAUAUUGAUUUGAUAGGUUAAUUAUGCUUAGGGGGUGUUCAAUUGAUGCUUGAAAAAAAUCAAAAUAAAAAAAGACUAAGAAAUGAGUAAGGAUACAAAGCAUGUCAAAAUAUGAUAUCCCACAUCGGAUAUGGAAGAAAGUUCUUGACACUAUAUAUGUAGAGACUCCUCUUAAUUAUGUAAACGUGUCUUAAAACCAUGAGGGUCCCUUUGGGUUUAAAGCGAACAAUAUCUAUACUACGAAAAAUGUGAUGAAUUCUCGCAUUCUUCAUACCCUCCUCCACUUCUUUGAACUUUAAAAAAAAAAAUUGAACAUCAUAUGAUUUUGAUAUUGAUUAAAUAGGUUAAUUACACUUGGUGGGUAUGAGAUUAAUGCCCGAAAGAAUUGAAAUCGAAAAUUUAAAAAAAAUUUUGAGGAUUCCUCACACUCUUCAUACCUUAUCAAAUUUCCACUUCUUUCAAUUUUUGAAAUCUUUUUUGAAUGUCAUAUGGAUUGAAUAUUGAUUAAAUAAGUUAAUUUAGAAGGUGUGAAAUUGAUGUCUGAAAAAAUCAAAAUCCAAAAAUAUUAAAAAAUUAGCAAAGAGUGUGGAAUUCCUUAUUGCUACUAAUUAUAUUAUUAUUAUUAUUUUGUAUUUUCAAUACUUCAACCAAUAUUUGAUGUGAUUAAAUUUAAAAUGUAAGAAAGAAUUUAUUAAUACAAUUUUCAAUUAAUAAUUAGUACACAACUAUCUUAAUUUUUAAACAUUGUAUACUUAUUUAAAUUUAUUUUCAUAUUUUUAUAAAAGUGUAAUUACACUUACAAUUUAUUGAAAUUUUUGUAAAGCUCCUGAGACGUAAAGGUUAUAUCACGAUACUGAAUUCUGCUAUGCUCGCCUUUCAAGCUCUGAUGCUCCACGCCUGCAGCUCCGUUCUUUGCAACUGAAAUACACCAUUAGCUAUGUCCGCCUGUGAUUAAUGCUCUUGCCAAUGGAGCCGGUGAAAUUUAUUUACAUUGUUUUUCUUUCCAAAGUAUUUUUUUAGAUGGAAAGAAAAAGAGACAAAUUAUAAAAAAUAAAUCUCCAAUACCAAUAUUUAAAAAUGAUUUAUCUAUUUGUCAACACAAUUUGAGUGGAAGAAUAAUCAAGACAUGUGAAAAUCUAUAUAUCAGGAAUCAAAUAGGGCCCAAGAACAGGUUCCAACAAGAACCAUCAAUGGGUUGCCCAAUCAAUAACAAAAGGCCCGGUCUCAUGGAUCACACAAAAUGGAGUCACCACACGAUAGGUUUAAACCCAAAUAUAAAUUUCAAGUUCAUAUUUUCAAUCCCAUUUAUAAUUUAUUUAUUCAAAUUAGAAAUCUAUUUAUCAAGAAUUAAGUUAGAGUGCAUGGAGACCAAAGUUAAGAGAGAGGAUCAUGCCAAGAUUUAAAAUGAACAAAAUAUUUAUGAUUUAUCUAUAAUAAAUAUUCAAAUAAUAUUAAAAAAAAAACUAAUUAUUUUGAUGAUCAUAAAAUAUAUCAUUAUUGAAAUACAAACAAAUUUAAAUAAUAAAAUCUUUUUUUAUCUUAAUAAUUAAAAGUUACAUAUUUAAUAAAAUUAAAAUUACUAAUAAUUUAAUAAAUCUUUGUGUCAUUCUUAUCAUAAUUUAAGUUGUCAACAUUAAUGAUAUAAGAUGAUGAAAUGUAUUUAAAUUUUUUAAUUAUUUAUAUAUUUUUAAUUUCUUAUAAUUAGUUUAAAUUUUAAUAAUAUAUAAAUUAUAUAUUUAUGAGAUUACCAAUUUGAUCACUGUUUAACCAUAAAUCAAUAAUUUUUCUCAUUGAAUAAUCAAUCUAAUUCUAAAAACAUUGAUAAAAACUAAAGAAUCUUUAUUAUAAAAAAAAUAAAAGAUGUAAAAAACAAAUAAUUUGACUAGUCAAAGUAAAGGUCAUGGGUGACUUUUGGAAGCCUAGAAUAACAUAGGAAAUGUACAAGAAAUCAUUGAGCUUGCCAUUUAUUUCAGUAUUUGGAGGAUAAUAUUUAAUUUUUAAUCAUAUAAAAACAAAAGUAUAUUUAAUUCAUUAUUUUCUAAUAUUAUCUUAGAAAUAUUUUUAGAGAUAUAUUUAUUUUAGAACUUAUUGAGGAUAUUAAUACAAUGAAUUUGAUAAAUGUAAUAUAAAAAUGUAUAAAGUCAUUAAUUUUUUUUAUUUAUUAAAUUUGAAAUAUACAUAUCAUGUAGUAAUUUUUUGAAAAAAAAGAUUACUUUUAUAAAGCCAAUUCAAGGAAAAAGAAAACAUAACACUAUCCUCACUUCUCCGUGGUGUUUUAUUUCAUAUUAGAAAUCCUUCUAAUAAAAUUUCCUUUCUAAAAAUUUUAAAAAUAUUUUUUAUAACUACAAAAAAAAAAAAAAAAAAAAAAAAAAAAGCAUUACACUUAUCUUAUUCAUUACACUUUUAGAUUAUGUUGGUUUUAUUGGGAGCAGGGGGAAGGGAAUGGGAAGGAGAAAGUAGGUUUGCUUACUUGGAAAUGCUAUUUACAGAGAGACGGGGGUUUAGCCAGCUGAGAUUUGAAACAAAGAAAGGAAAGCUGGUGAUGGUGGAUUGAAUAUAGAGAAUGUGGGGUUUUGGGGUUGGGAGGCAUAUAUUCUUGACUGUUACGGUAACAACAUUUAUGAAAUGGACACAGCCUCCCUGAUGGUAGUACUCCAAAACGAUGUCGUUUCAGGACCCAAAAAGACAGGGUUUUAUCUCCCUCACCGCAUUGUAAUUAUUAUUAUUACGAUGGUUAAAAUUAGGAGUCAAUUUCUUGGGAUAUUCCACUAAUAAAAAAUAAAUAUAUUAUUUAUUUUAUUUUAUUUUUUAUUUCACUUAUCUUAUCAUAUUGUAGACCCCCCAUACGGUGAGGGCUUUUGGGUUUUUUUUGUUUUUGUUUUUUUUGUUUUUUAUUUUAUUCUUCUGACCACCCUAGAAAUUAAGCUGCAUGGGGCGGCAGAUGGGAUGGGUGGCAGGGGGCAAGCGGUGGCUUGCUGAGGAAGACGAGAGAAAAUAAAAAAAAAAAGAGGAAAAGGAAAAGGGAGAUCUGCAGAGGGUGGGAGGACUUUUCCGGAGAGCAGAAGACACCACUGUCAGUUGGAGGGCUCAGGUAUGGCCAUCUUCUCAAUUUUGGGUCUUUCUUUUUCGCUAUUUUUACUCAAUUCAUGCUGUGAAUCUAUUCUUCUCUGUCAUUGGGCUUGUUGAUUAUUGCUUUGGCACCUUUCUCUCCGAACCCCAUGCUCGUCCCUGCCUCACCCACGUCCCACGCAUGGCCGUCACCCUCACCUAUCUUCCUCAUCACCUCUUUCUCCCUCUAAUCGCCAUACCCGACUCCACAAGGACUCCCAAGGUCGCUCUUCUGCACGCAUGGAGUCCAAGCAAGCAUGCUGCCCCUCCCCGCAUCUCCUUGCUGCGCGCACCGCGCCGACGAGGCGCUUGCUCGUCUCACCAGCCGUUGCCUCGCCGCCAACCGCCAUCACCCGCUCCGGCUACGCUCACAUCUGCUCUUGCUCCGGGACCGCGUCGCCGCUGCCAUCGCUCCAGGACCACGCCGCCGCUGCAAUCGCUCCAGGACUACGCCGCCGCCGCCAUUACCCGCGACAGCGCCACCGCUGCCAUAGCCCGCGGCAGCGCCACCGUCUUCGCCUGGAAGGGCGAGAUCCUCCCGAGGCCUAGGAGCUGUCCACCAAGCUUGGAGAAAUCCGUGACUCCGAGCACCGUCGCCGCAGCCAGACGCGAGGGGGGGGGGGGGGGGGGGAACUAGGAAGAAGAUGAAGUCUUGUUGGGCUUGGGCUAAGGCUAGGCCCAAUUUGUGUUUGGUUUUGGCUAGGCCCAGUUUUGAGUUUGGUUUUGGGUUUGGGUUAUGAAGGCUUUGGGCUUGGGUUUGAGUUUGGAGCCCAGGCCCAAGCCUAUGCUGAAGAUGGGGCCUUUGUCUUGAGCCCAUUUCUAUUAUUACCAUAAUUAUUAUUAUUGUUAUUUUUAAUUAUUAUUGUCAUUGCUAUUAUUAUUACUAUUAUUAUUAAUCAUUGUUAUCAUUAUAUUUACUACUAUUAUUAUUAAUCAUUAUUAUCAUUAUAAUUAUUAUUAUUAUUAUCAUUAAUUAUUAUUGUCAUUGCUAUCAUUAUUAUUAUUGCUAUUAUUAUUACUAUUAUUAUUAAUCAUUGUUAUCAUUAUAUUUAUUAUUAUUAUUAUUAAUCAUUAUUAUCAUUAUAAUUAUUAUUAUUAUUAUCAUUAAUUAUUAUUGUCAUUGCUAUCAUUAUUAUUGUUAUUAUGAUUGUUGCUAUUAUUAUUAAUCAUUGUUAUCAUUAUAUUUAUUAUUAUUAUUAUUAAUCAUUAUUAUAAUUAUAAUUAUUAUUAUUAUUAUUAUUAUUAUUAUUAAUUAUUAUUGUCAUUGCUAUCAUUAUUAUUAUUAUCGGCAUUAUGAUUGUUACUAUUAUUAUUAAUCAUUGUUAUCAUUAUAUUUAUUAUUGUUAUUAUUAAUCAUUAUUAUCAUUGUUAUUAUUAUUAUUAUCAUUAUUAUCAUUAAUUAUUAUUAUCAUUAUUAUUAACUCAACUUUCAAAAUCUAUUUAUCAUUAUUAUUAUUAUCAUUAAUCCAAACUUUCAACACCUAUUCAUUAUUAUUAAUUAUUAUCAUUAAACCCAACUUCCAAAAUCUCAUCAUUAUCAUUAUUAUCAAUUCACAUUUUCAACACCUAUUUAUUAUUAUUUAUUAUUAUCAUUAGUCCAAACCUCCAAGAUCUCAUCAUUAUUAUUAUAAUUAACUCAACUUUCAAAAAUCUAUUUAUUAUUAUUAUCAUCAUUAAUCCAAGCUUUCAAAAACCUCAUCAUUAUUGUUAUUAUUACCUCAACUUUCAAAAUAUUAUUAUUAUUAUUAUUAUUAUUAUUAUCAUUGAUUAAUACUUUCAAAACCUUAUUAUUAUUAUUAUUAUUAUUAUUAAUUCAAACUUUCAAGACCUUAUUAUUAUUAUUAAUUCAAACUUUCUAACUUCCAAUUUCCAAGCCCAAUUUAUAAAAAUUCAACCUUCAAAUAAUACUUCAAAAUUCCGACAUUUAAAAUUCAAUUCCAAUUUCCGAAAAUUCUCAUACUCACUUUAAUUUAUUUAAUCACUAAUACUUUAUUCAUUUAUUUUUAAAACUCCAUUCUUAAUCUAUUUAUUUAAAAUUUCUGUUUGCCGAAUUAAAUUCCGAAAAUUCCCAUUCUCACUUCAAUUUAUUUAAUCACUAAUACUUUAUUCAUUUAUUUUUAAAAACUCCAUUCUUAAUCUAUUCUUUAAAAUUUCCAUUUACCGAAUUAAAUCCCGAAAAUUCCUAUACUCACUUUAAUUUAUUUAAUCACUAAUACUUUAUUCAUUUAUUUUUAAAACUCUAUUCUUAAUCUAUUCUUUAAAAUUUCCAUUUACCGAAUUAAAUUCCGAAAAUUCCUAUACUCACUUUAAUUUAUUUAAUCACUAAUACUUUAUUCACUUAUUUUAAAACUAAUCUAUUCUUUAAAAUUUCCGUUUAUCGAAUUACAUUUCUAUUUUUGAAAAUUCCAGUAUUCACAUUAAUUUAUUUAAUUAUUAUUAUGUUAUUUAUUUAUUCUAAAAUUCUAUUUUAAACAAUUCAUUUAAAACUUUCGAUCUCUGAAUUAAAUUUCUAUUUCUGAAAAUUUCACUAUUCACAUUAAUUUAUUUAAUUAUUAUUAUGUUAUUUACUUAUUCUAAAAUUCCAUUUUAAACAAUUCAUUAAAAUUUCCGACUUUCGAUUUUAAUUUCUAAUUCCAAAAACUCCAAUAUUCGCAUUAAUCUAUUUAAUUAUUAUUAUUUUAUUUAUUUAUUCUAAAAUUCUAUUUUAAACAAUUCAUUUAAAACUUUCGACUUCCGAAUUAAAUUUCUAUUUCUGAAAAUUUCAAUAUUCACAUUAGUUCAUUUAAUUAUUAUUAUUUUAUUUAUUUAUUCUAAAGUUCCGUUUUAAACAACUCAUUAAAAUUCUCGACUUCUGAUUUAAUUUAUAAUUCCAAAAUUCCAAUACUCACAUUAAUCUAUUUAAUUAUUAUUAUUUUAGUUAUUUAUUUCGAAAUUCCAUUUUAAACAAUUCUUCAAAAUUCAAAAUUCGGAACUUAAUUUCCAAUUUCCAAAAUUCUAAUUUCUUUCAAAUUUAAUAUCCAAAAUUCCAAUUCUUAAAUUUAAUUCUCAAGACUCCAAUCUUCAAAUAAUUUUCGAGACUCCGAUUUCCAAAUAAAUAUCCAAAAUCAAGUUUUUACUCCAAUAGUUUUAAUUCCAUUUCGGUUCUUAAAUAAUCUUUUGAUCUUCUGGAUUUUACAUAAGCAAUAAUGAAUUCUUCAUAAUUCUAAAACAUGGAAUUUGUGAGAUUAGUUCAUGAACAAUAAAUUGGGCUUUGGUGGGGGGGCCAUAUGAUUGAUCCCUAUUGAUUGUCAACUGUUGUGCUUGAUAUAUUUUGCUCGAUCUUCAUUUUGCGCUCCGAUAUGCAUGAGCUAUAAUUCGUAUUCGUUAAUUGUGUACUAAUCCCGUUUCUUGAUAGCGCAUUGUGGCUCGUGGCUCAGGUACGCACACAUUUUCAUUUUGAUCAUUCUCUAUGCAUGUUGGAUUUUCAUAUGUGCAUGAUUUGACUUAGGCAUCCAUUGAUUGUCACGUCGGCUUCAUUUUAUUAGUAGAGACCCGACUUUAGGGGCUUAGAGGGGUGCUACGGUCUUUACCGUACCUUCCCGAUGAGUAACCUGACCCCCGAACCCGAUCCGAUUUUUCACAGACCACCUUUUCCAAAAUAAGGAGUCACACUUAGGGUUUUUCUUUCUUAUUUUGUUUACCCUUUUAAAAUAAAACAAAAAUAAGUGGCGACUCCAAGUCAUUUUCAAAUAGUCAAUAAAAAUCAAUUUUCCUAAAUAAACAUCGAGCUCGCCAUUGAGUGGGAAACGCAUUGAGCCGAAAUGCGGGGUCCACACAUAUAUUUAACUAAAUAUGACAUAAGAUAAACUAUGAGAUAUAUUAUUUGUUUUAUUUUUUAUAAAUAUGUUAAUACCAAGUUAAAUUAUAUAAAAUACACAUAUCCCCUGUAUUAUAAAUUUAUUUAUUUAUUUAUCUAUUUUUAAUUUAUAAAAUAAUUUUUUUAUAAUAAAAUAUAAUUUAUGGUUAAAAAGAACUCAAAAAUUUAUAAAAUAUAUUAUAAAAUAAUAUUAAUUAUAUGUAUUAUUUAAUAUAUAAAUUAUUUUUAUAUAUUUCAAAUAACAUAAUAUAAAAAAAUUAUUUAUAAAGUUUAAAUAUUUUAAUCAUGAAUAUUUUUAUAUUUUUUUAAAUAAAAAAUAUUAGAAUAUAAUAUAAAUUUUAUUUUAAAAUUUUAAAAAUAAUAUAUAUUCUAUUUUAUGUUUUUAUUCAUUUUAUAAACUAAAUAUAAAUCUAAUAUAACAUGUUUUAUUGGAUAUCUUAGUUUAAGAUAUCAUAUCCAUUGCAUAUAAUAUAUCACAUUCAAUUGAAAAUCAUAUAGCAUGAGAUAUGAUAUUUCAAGAUAUAUAUACAUAUAUAUUUUAUCCAAUGAACCAACAUAAUCUAAAUUAGUUAUAAAAUAUAUUAUUUUUAAAAGUGUUUAUUUCUUAGUCAUUACACUUUAUUAUUAUUAUUAUUAUUAUUAUUAUUAUUAUUAUUAUUAUUAUUAUUUUCUUUAUUUUUUUCACAUGCAAUGAUAGUUUCUAGUCAUCAUGCCUUGCAAGACCCAAUACUCACAAAAUUUACAAGUUUACUCAUCAUAUCUUUUAAAUUUUUUGUUACUCCUAAAGUAUUCAAGACUUUUAGCAAUGUCAUAUCCUUAUCACUACAACUAACAACUUUGACCAAUUCAAAAAAUGAACUUCACAUGCAAUAGUAGUUCUAAUCAUCAUGUCUUGCAAGACCCGAUAGUUACAAAAUUUUCAAGUCUACUAUUCAUCAUAUCUUUUAAAAUUUUGGUUACUCAUAAAGUAUUCAAGACUUUUAGCAAUGUCAUAUCCUUAUCAUUAUAACUAAGAACUUUGCCCAAUUCAAAAAAUGAACUUCUCAUGCAAUAGUUCUAGUCAUCAUGCCUUGCAAGACCCGAUAGUUACAAAAUUUUCAAGUCUACUACUCAUCAUAUCUUUUAAAAUUUUGGUUACUCAUAAAGUAUUCAAGACUUUUAGCAAUAUCAUAUCCUUAUCAUUACAACUAAGGACUUUGCCCAAUUCAAAAAAUGAACUUCACAUGUAAUAGUAGUUCUAGUCAUCAUGCCUUGCAAGACCCGAUAGUUACAAAAUUUUCAAGUCUACUACUCAUCAUAUCUUUCAAAAUUUUGGUUACUCAUAAAGAAUUCAAGACUUUUAGCAAUGUCAUAUCCUUAUCACUACAACUAAGAACUUUGCCCAAUUCAAAAAAUGAAUUUCACAUGCAAUAGUAGUUCUAGUCAUCAUGCCUUGCAAGACCCGAUAGUUACAAAAAUUUCAAGUCUACUACUCAUCAUAUCUUUUAAAAUUUUGGUUACUCAUAAAGUAUUCAAGACUUUUAGCAAUGUCAUAUCCUUAUCACUACAAUUAAGAACUUUGACCAAUUCAAAAUAUGAACUUCACAUGUAAUAGUAAUUUUAGUUAUCAUGCCUUGCAAAACCCGAUACUUACAAAAUUUUCAAGUCUACUACUCAUCAUAUCUUUUAAAAUUUUGGUUACUCAUAAAAUAUUCAAGACUUUUAGCAAUUCAAAAGUGCAUGCUUUAGAAAGUUAUUACUUUUUGUAGUUUAAAUGUGAGUGUUAUGUAUUUGUCUUUUCACAUAUUUAUAUAUAACCUAGAUGGCCAAUCAGGCCAUUACCAUACAAUUUUUUUUUUUUUUUUAUAUAUAAUCUCAUAAAGCAUUUUCAAUUUUUUUUUAUAAUGUAUAUAAAAUAAUGUCAAUCCAUUUACACUUACGAAAAUGAUUUUUCUUAAAAAUGUCAAAGGCAACGAGGUAUGAAUAUUUUUAUAUCUGGAAACUGCAGGGACCCACUAAGGGGAGUACAUGCUAUUAGUGUCGGUGAGGAGAAGAUAGAGGAAACACAUUGGGGGGUGAGUCAAGGAGGAAGGGGCGUGCCGCCCUGCCGGGAGCGUGGUGGCAUGAAUUACUUGGGCGGAGCGAGAUGUCACGUGGACCGCGCUUUGCGCGGACACGCGGCGACCUGCAGAUCCGGAGGGGCGACGUUGUCUAACGAAUUUUAGAAAUUCGUGCCACUAGCCAUAUGGAUUUUGGACUAAAAUAAAAAACAAGACUUUAUUUUUGUUAUUUCUUUUAUAAGGAUGUCAUAAUUAAUAAUUCAAAAAUGUUAAUAAUUAAUUAUUAAAGAGAUUUUUGCUACUCUUCGAAAUUAUAAAAAAGUUUAUACACUCAUAAAACAAAUAAAUGUAUCUUCUAAUAAAUAAAUUUUUAUUAAAAUAAAUAAAUAUAUAUCUAAUUUUGAAUUUAUUAAUAUGAAGUAAAUUGUAUGUAUCUUAAGUUAGAUUUCUUAUUGAUUAAAAAAAAAGACCAUUCAAGGUUUAGCUAGAUGAAAAAAAAAUCUUUAUUUAUUAGAAAAUUCAAUUUUUUUUGAAUGAUGAAUCAUUGAUAAUGAUAUAUAAAAAUAAUUUAUAUAUCAUAUAUUAAUAUUACUUUAUAAAUAUUUUUAGUUUUUCUUUUUUAACCAUAAAUUUAAUUUAUAAUUAAAAAAAUUAUUUUAUAAAUGGUAUCUCUUGUCAUCAUACCUUUCAAGACUCUAAGCUCAUAAAAAUUUUCAGUAUUUUCAUCAUAUCUUUUAAAAAGCCAUGUAUAACGGGUCUUUUUUUUCUUAAGUUUAAGUCAAUAAAUCAAAUUAAAAAAAAUAAUAAACUUUCAUUAUUGUAUUUUAUAUUGUAGCGAGAGACUUAAAAAGUCAUGUAUAACAAGUCUUCCUUUCAUAAGUCAAGUCAAUAAAUAGAAUUAAAAGAAAUAAUAAAUUUUCAUUAUUGUACUUUGUCUUGUAGCAAGAGACUUAAAAACCCAUGUAAGAGGUCUUCAUUUCUUAAGUCAAGUCAAGUCAAGUCAAUAAAUCGAAUUGGAAGUUUUUCCUUUUCUCUUUUUUUAAACCAACUUCUACUAUUACUUUUAUUAAUUAUUUUGAUCAUUUGAUUAAAUAUUAAAUUAUUAUUAUUUUUUUUCAAGUACAAACCAUUUCAUGUUAAAAAAUUUAAAGUGGAUCUAACUUUCUUUACAAGUUAAGAUAUCUUGAUAAAGGGAUAAAUAAUGGAUUGUAAUAUUUCAACUUUAAUUAAGUUAAUUUAUCAAUAUUCAAACUAAGUUGGAGAAAAAAAAAAAACAAAGACAACACCUCAAUUUUAGUUUUCCAUUACACAUGGUUAUUUCUUUUUCUUCUUUUUCCUUUGCUUCUUUGACACGCAAUGGUAUCUUUAGUCAUCAUACAUUAAAAAAAACAAGAUAAAGAAACAUUAGUCUACAUUGAGUGUGUUAAUAUGAAGUACAUUUUGUAGAUGAUGAAUCAUUGAUGAAGAUAGGCUAAGGAAUUUUUUCGGUCUAUAGAAUGACUUGUUAAUUAAAGUUGGAAUAUUAUAGUACUUUAUUUUUAUUAUCUCUUUAUCAAGAUGUCUUAAUUAAUGAUUCAAAAAUGUUAAUAAUAUCAUAAAAGAUAUUUUUUCUACUCUUGAAAAUUAUAAAAAAAGUUUAUACACUCAGAAAACAAAUUAUCUUCUAAUAAAUAAAUUUUAUUAAAAUAAAUAAAUAUAUGUCUACUUUGAAUUUAUUAAUAUGAAGUAAAUUGUAGGUAUCUUAAGUUAGAUUUCUUAUUGAUAAAAGAAAAAGACCAUUCAACAUUUAACUAGAUGGAAAAAAAAUCUUUAUUUAUUAGAAAAUUCAAAUUAUUUUUUGAAUGAUGAAUCAUGGAUAAGGAUAAAUACUCUAGAUGGGUCAAAUAUGGUAGAUAACUUGGUUCCAAUAAAUAUUACAUUAAAUUUUUUUGGAACUUAUAUUUCUGCUAACUAAAAGCAACCUCUAUAUGGAUUCAAUAUAGAGGAUGGUGUGACCGUAAAGUUAUUUCUUUAAAUUUUUGGCCGUAUAUUGUCACUUAACUACCACUUAUAAUAAUAAUAAUGAUGAUGAUGAUAGAGGAAACUGCAUGGGACCCACGAAGGCAUGGGGAGUACACGCUAUUGGUGUCGGUGAGGAGAAGAUAGAGGAAACACAUUGGGGGGUGAGUGAGGGAGCAAGGGCGGGAUGGAGUCAACAAGAGUGUUGACUGAGGAUAAUAAAGGGGCACGCCGCCCUGCCGGGAGCGUGGUGGCAUGAAUUACUUGGGCGGAGCGACAUGUCACGUGGACCGUGGCGACCUGCAGACCCGGAGGGGUAGCGUUGUCUAACGGAUUUUAGAAAAUUCGUGCAACUAGCCAUAUGGAUUUUGGAAUAAAAUAAAAAAUAAGACUUUAUUUUUGUUAUUUCUUUUAUCAAGAUGUCUUAAUUUAUAAUUCAAAAAUGUUAAUAAUAAAUUAUAAAAGAGAUUUUUGCUACUCUUCGAAAUUAUAAAAAAGUUUAUACACUCAUAAAACAAAUAAAUGUAUCUUCUAAUAAAUAAAUUUUUAUUAAAAUAAAUAAAUGUAUAUCUACUUUGAAUUUAUUAACAUGAAGUAAAUUGUAGGUAUCUUAAGUUAGAUUUUUUAUUGAUUAAAGAAAAAGACCAUUCAAGGUUUAACUAGAUGGAAAAAAAAUCUUUAUUUAUUAGAAAAUUAAUUUUUUUUUAAUGAUGAAUCAUUGAUAAUGAUAUAUAAAAAUAAUUUAUAUAUAUCAUAUAUUAAUAUUAUUUUAUAAAUAUUUUUAGUUUUUCGUUUUUAACCAUAAAUUUAAUUUAUAAUUAAAAAAUUUAUUUUAUAAAAUAAAUAUAUAAAAAAAUAAAUUUAUGAUAUAUGAGAUAUACAUAUCUUAUAUCUUAGUAUAGAAUUAACAUAUUUCGUGUAAAAGGAAUAAAAAAAGAGUGAAUAAUAUAUUUCACCACUUAAACUAUCUCAUCAUUAAUUAAAUAUAAAAUUUGAUGUAAUAUCUUCUCUUUUAUCCUGUAUGAUGUUACAUUUGAUCAACCAAACAUAACCUAUAAAGUUAAAAUUAUAGAAAUGAAAUGUAAGAGACCUUACUGAAAAAUAGAAAGUAAAAUGAUUGAUUUUUGAAAGUAAAUAUUGAUAAUAUUAUAAAAUUUUCACUAACAUAAAUUAAAAAAUUCAAGGAAAAAAAAAACAUAACACUAUCCUCACAAUUCCGUGAUAUUGUUUUUUUCAUAUUAGAAAUCCUUAUAAUCAACUUUCCUUUUUAUACGUUUUAAAAAGAAUUUUUAUUACUAAUUUAGAUUAAAAAAAAAAAAAAAAACCUUUCAACCAACCACACAUGUGACAUGGUGGUUGUUUUUAAAUUUCAAUAAAAGAUUUUAUAAUUAUUAAGAAAAGAAAAAAAUGUUAAAAAAAAAUGAUUAUUUUUUUUUAUUAUGAAAUAUACGAAAGUAAAAAUAUAUAAUUAAAAUUAAUAAAAAAACUAAUAUAUUUUAAAAUUAUUUACUUUUUAUUUUUAAAAAUUAAAUAAAUAAAAUAAAUUUAAAAUAAAAUAUAAAAAUAAUUUAUUAAUUUUAAAUUUAUUUUUUAUUUCUCUCUCACUUGUUCUUUAAGACGUGUUGUGUGUAAAAUACCAUAAAACAAGUCAUAUCACCAUGCUCAAGAUUUCAACAUGGUAGGUGUAGGUUUUGAAGACUUUUCCAUAUGAUUAAUACUUGGAUACCUGAAUUUUCUUUGGGUGGGGUUGGGCUUCUGUAAGUUUCUCUGCAAUUUUCUCCUACUUGGAAACAAAGGAAUGGUCAAAGAGAGGAACUCAGUGAAGAGAAGAUUGAAACGGACUGGAUACACCCUCGCUUGCUCCGAAGGUUGGUAUGAUCUUCAUGGUCGGUAGGCCUUCUCAAGUCUCCAUGCAUGCCUCAUUUUUCCCAUAUGAUAAAUCAAUGGUAGGAAGAGCGAGCUUCACACGAACAAACACAAUAAAAUCAUUAAAUUUUUGGAAUAAUAAUAUGAUGAAGUUGAUAAAUGAUAAGGAUUAGGAAGAUGUUUAAUGAAAUUUUAAACUAAUAAUAAUUAGAUGUAUUUAACCUAAACUUUUGGAGAGAUUAAUGAAAUUAAUCAUAUAAAAAUUUCUCUAAUUUUAAUUUUAGAAUAAAUAUUAACAAUAUUUUUUUCAAAUAUAAAUAAUAAUAUUUGGAAAACAUCAUCAGUAAAUUGCCUUUUCAAUUUUUUGUCUAAUUGUCAUUUUAAAUGAAUAUUAAAAUCCUUUUAGUAAAAUUUAUGAAUUUAGUAAAAUAUUAAUAUCUAUAUUUUAUAAAUUUUAAUAAAGUUUUAUUAUUUUUAAUAAAAAAAAAAUUAUAUAAGUUGUGUUUGUCUUAUUAGUAUCACUAUUUACAAAAUUUAUCUUUAUAUUAUUUAUUUUAAAAAUUAUUAUUUAUUAAGAAUCAUUUUUAUAAAAGGUAAAAAAUAAUUACCAUAUAAAUAUAAAUUAAAAGUCGAGGUUAUAUUUGUUAAUUAUUUUUAAAAAGGGAUUUCAAAACAUUACUUUCUCCAAAAAUAACAAUAAUAAUAUUAUAAACACAAUAUUUACUCAAAAUAUUAUGUAAAUGAAAAACUUAAAAAUAAUAUAUAUUUGUUUUUUAAAAAAUAUUUUUAGUCAUAAUUAAAGGUCAUCUACUCAACAUGUUGGUGGGAAUGGUAUAUAAGUCAAUGCCUGCUUUGCUCACAAAUCAAAAACCAAAACUUGCUAAUCCUUGUUAUUACACACUAUCCUUGCUCUGUGUUGAACAUGGCUACAAGCCCCUUUCGAUAUUUUAUUUCCCUUUUUCUGCUUUUGCUCUGUUUCGAAGCCUGUUUGAGGGUGGGUGAUGCUACAGUUGGGUGCAGAGAGAGGGAGAGGCAAGCUCUCCUUCACUUCAAACAAGGUGUUGUCGAUGACGAUGGAGUGCUUUCUUCAUGGGGGAAUGGGGAAGACAAAAGAGAUUGUUGCAAAUGGGCAGGAGUGGAGUGUAACAACCAGACGGGUCAUGUGAUCAGGCUUGAUCUUCAUGACCAAUCUUUGGGAGGUAAGAUAUCUCAGCUUGGUCCUUCAUUGGCAGAGUUGCAGCACUUGAAGCAUUUGAACCUCAGCUAUAAUGAUUUUAAAGGUAAUUAUAUACAUAUAUACCUUGUGAAAAUUCAUCAGCUUGUCUCAGCAGAAUAUAAUUCUCUCUUUUCCCAAUUUUACAGGAAUUCUUCCCACUCAACUUGGAAAUCUUUCCAAUUUGCAAUCCCUUGAUCUCGGCAGUAAUUAUGGGCAUAUGAGCUGUGAGAACCUUGACUGGCUUUCUCACCUUCCUUCGUUAACACACCUUGACUUGAGUGGGGUUUAUCUUAGUAAAGCAAUCCACUGGCCACAAGCAAUUAAUAAAAUGCCUUCCCUAACUGAGUUAUACUUGAGUGAUACUCAGCUUCCUCCGAUUAUUCCAACAAUAUCCAUUUCCCAUAUUAAUUCUUCUACUUCUCUUGCUGUGCUUCAUCUCUCCUUGAAUGGUCUCACUUCUUCAAUAUACCCAUGGUUGUUCAACUUCAGUAGCAGCCUUGUUCAUCUUGACCUCUCUAUGACUGAUCUAAAUGAAUUAAUUCCGGAUGCUUUUGGAAACAUGACUACUCUGGCAUAUCUUGAUCUCUCUUGGAACGAGCUAUGUGGUUCAAUUCCGGAUGCUUUUGGAAACAUGACUACUCUGGCAUAUCUUGAUCUCUCUUUGAACGAGCUACGUGGUUCAAUUCCGGAUGCUUUUGGAGACAUGACUACUCUGGCACACCUUGACCUUCAUUCUAAUCAUCUAAAUGGAUCAAUUCCGGAUGCUUUUGGAAACAUGACUAGUCUGGCAUAUCUUGAUCUCUCUUCGAAUCAACUUGAAGG